rnacentral:lncRNA from 1 species
CAGUGAAAUCUUAGUUUCUCAUUGCUACAUUAUUAUAUUUUUACAAGAGUGAUGCAUUUUAUACAAUCAAUAAAGCUAGCAAAAAUGCAAAAUUUUGGGGGCCAAAGCGGCAAAAAUAAACAGUUUUUUUUUACAAAGAAUCAAAGGAAAUAACAUACACUAGGGUGUACAUUUUAGAGUAUAUUUUAUAUACACUCCGAGCUUCUAGUGGCCUGGUAGCUUCGUCACUGGGCUGCUACAAGCUUUAGGGCACUGUUUCCCCACCAACUUCGGAGAUACGUUGGAGCACUGGAACGUUGCUGGACCGUCUUUUCCAUUAUAUGUAAUAUCAAUGUCGCCGAUCUCCACGUUCUUACACGGAAAUCCCUUGCUGCACAAUAGCUUCACUGCGUCUUUGUUCCCUGAUGAUCCUUUGAUAUUCUUGAACUUUAUGUCCACCAGCUUGAUGGAUGAUGGUUUCUACAAACAAAUAAAACAAUUGAAAAUGAUAAUCAAUGGACUAUGAUCGUUAAGAUUUUCUUGAAAAGUACUUUUCUGUACGUACAUUCUUGUUGCAUCGGUUCCAGGGGCAGUACUCUUGGUCGAUGAGGAUAGGGUUGCUAACAUUGUGGAGAAUAAUAUUCUCGAAAUGGAUACCAGAGGCGGUCGUGGAGCAAGCUGCAGAGGGCCAUGUCUUGAUUCUCACACCAUUGUCAGUAUUUCUGAGGGUGCAGUUCACGACCUUGACGCCAGUGACGUCUUCCUCGUGCCCGUAUAAUCCGAGGCUUCCAAUACUGAUUCCGUGUCCCGGACCGCAUGAAACUCUUUCGACAAGAAGGUUUUUCAUCCCGUCCCCAACAGAGAUACAGUCAUCUCCUGUUUUGAUGUUGGUGUUGAUGAUCUUGAUUCCGUCACUCCUUCCCACGUGGAUUCCAUCGGUGUUGGGACUCUCUUCAGGGGCUACGAUCCUGAUGUCUUCGAAUGUCAGGUUCUUUGCCCCGAUCACGUUAAUGUGGAAGUUCUUUGCAUCUAACGAGGUUAUGUCUCUUACCUUACCGUCAGUUAUGUAAUCAAACCGUAUGCUCUGUUCAACAAUGACAAAACAUCAACAAACUAACAAUGCUAUUUGCUAUUUAGCUGAGUUAUUAUAGAUAAAAGAUAGACAACAUACGAUAGGGAGUCUCUUGCACUGAGUUAAUGACGUCUUGUGGCAGUUAUUAGCCCUCCAUGAAGCGUUACCUUCACCGUCAAAGAUACCACCUCCGUUCAAUCUAAAGUUAGUAAUCCUGCGGAAAGCGACCCAAAAGUCCUUCCCGUUAACGUUCCCAUCAGCUCUCACAGUGCCUUGAAGAACAAAUAUUAUAGGAGCUUUGCAUGGACCCAUCAUCUCUAUUUCCCCAAGCUUGAAUUCACCUUUUGGGAUCAAAACGGUGCUCUUGUCCACGCACUGACAUGCCUCCUUGAAUAGUUUCGACAAUUCCUGCAUCCCAAAGAUCUUUAGUUUGCUUGAAGAACAAGAAAGCUAAUUGGUUAAUGGGAAGAUGAAUAAGGUAUUAGAAACUUACGCCGGUGAUAUCAGAACCUGGACGAGCAGUGAUUCUGAAUUCUCUAGCAUUUGCUGAUAAAGCUAACAAACAAAAAACAAAGAAUGCUGAUACUCCAAAAUGUACACCCAUUGUUGUGAUUUAUUCUAGUCACUAGUGAUUACAGUUUUUUUUUAUGUUUUAUUUCUUUUUGUAAACCACUAGGUUUUGUUUUUUUAGUAUUUGAAAAUUUAGUUUUCGUAUUUAUGUUUUGUUCCUUGAUUUGUCUGCCAUUAUAUAGUCUAUAUAAGAGGAGAGAGUUUUUAAAGUUGGGUUUCUUAUCCACCGUUCCUUUCACCUCUUCUUACCGAUAUUUUUGGAAACUUUUUAGUCGGAGUUUUUUUUUUUGGUAAGCUGCAGGAGACAUUAGUCCCCUACUUUUUAUUUAAAAAUAUAAAAUUACAUGCAAAACUGCCGAGGUCUCGAUACCCCAUUAAUAUCCUCUAAAGAAAUAGCACCAACGCUAUCAGGAACAAACUCGAAAACAUGCAAACCAAAUGAUAAAGAAAGAGCAUAAGUAGCUAAUCCAUCGGCUAGAUGAUUAGCUUCCCUAUACACAUGCGAAAUCUUGACUAUCCAGUCUCUUGUUAUGAAGCCGUAGCACAGACGUACUAGGAAUGACAGGGGAUGAGAAUCAUUAAUCCCUGUCCGAAGAAAAUCCACCACACUCUCUGAAUCCACUUCCAGCUCUACCCGACUUUUUAGUCGGAGUUUGACAUAGACAAACACUAAUAAUACCAUUGCUUAAAAAUAAAGCUUAUAUUACCUUAAUGCACAUCAAUUGGAGACAAAAAAAAAAAUUUCAAAUAUCUAUAAAUUUAAAUUCAUUUAUUAAUUCAGGAAAAUAUACAUGUAUGCCCAAAAAUAUUUCCCCAAUUCUAUCGUUCGGCAUGUUUCUCGUUUAUGCUGCAUGUUAUGCACAUGGUGCACCCAGUCUUCAUUCAGCAGGAUUCAUGUCGAUACAGUUUUAUCUUUGUAGAUAUCUUAACCUUUUAAUUAAUUGUUUUAGUUUCGUUAGUUAAAAAAAAAACAACUAAAAAAUUCUUCUUGAAUGCCAAAGACACAUAAAUUAAUAAGUUUGGGUAUGAAGGAAGUAAUGGUGAAUUUAGUUUUGGCUAGGGAACAUGAGGAUAUGCAAGAAUAGCACUAUCUUUCUCUACCACUGUGAGAACAAACACUGGCUAUGAUGUAUGUCUUGUAGAAUUUUAUGAGAAUGCAUGGUGUGGUUUACAGUGAUCCGACUUCGAGCUGUUAUAUAUGAUGUACGGAAGUGCUUAAGAAAAUUGAUUUGGCUACCUACAUCACUAAAGUGCGCUUAUCUUUUCUGGUACACAUCCGUUUAGAACUUCGGAGUUAAUCGUAUUUGAACUGGAGUAAUGGAAUGAUAAGUGACCUAUCGAGAAGUGAUUCACGAUAGCGUGCGAGUGAGGCCAAAAAACAGGAAAAUGUCAUGUGGUGAUUGCAUGGAUCAGUAAACAAUAAUUUUGAGCCUUCGAAAAACUAACGCACCGCUCGUUAAAUGGGAUAGGACCCACGGGUCGAGUGAGCGGGCGUGAGUGACCCAUUAGCCGUGGGCGGUCGGAGCGUAACAAGUGGUGUCAGAACUGGUUAGACAUCUCGAUUCUGACCCGAGAGGCGUCUUGAGACAUGUCGUAGGACGCAACGAGGACGUUGCGUUCUUUGAGAAGGGUGAAUUGUAACAUUCCGAGUUAUGAUAUAUGGAAGAGCUUAAGAGAAUUAAUUUGGCUACAUAUGUCACCAAUGUACGCUUAACUUUUACGACACACAUAUGUUUAGAACUCUAGAGUUAAGCGUACUUGAACUGCAGUAGUAGAAUGAUAGGUGACCUAUCGGAAAGUGAUUCAUGAUAGCGUGCGAGGGAGGCCAAAGAACGGAGAAAAUUCAUGUGGUGAUUGCAGGAUCAGUAAACAAUAAUUUCGACCUUUCAAAAAAUUAACGCACCGUUCGUCAGAUGGGAUGAGGCCCACAGGCCGAAUGAGCGGGCUUGGAUGGCCCAUUAGUUGUGGACGGUCGGAGCGUCACGAAUGAAUUACACAGAGACAAGUCGAGUUUAUGAAUAAUUUUGCACAAAUAUUUUUGAAAAAAAUAUCAUAUAAACUAUUCUGAUGUGGUUUUAUUUACAAAUUUAAUAUAUUGACGAUGCAUGAAUUGCUAUUUAGAACAUCUUUAUUCAUAGUACUAUGGAAAAAUUCUCAACAAAAUAAUACUGAAAAUAUAGUUGAUAUAUUCAUGGGGUUCCCAAAAUCUUGAGAUAUGCAUGCAAUUGCCUCAAUGAGUAUCUCAUUUUUGAAAACCACACAUAUACAUGUUAAUUAGAACUGAAGUCAAGACCUUGAACCCACCUAGUCCUAUAAAUUACUUGUUUAGAUUUAGUUUUAUAUGAUCCCAAAAUGAUUUUUUCUAACUAAGCUUAUUUGGACUUUAGAUUUUUGGUCUGAAAUCCAUUUGGAUUAAGACUAGCCCGAAAAAACUAAAUCUUUAUAUGUUUUAAUUUAUAUGUGAUUAUUUAAAUCUUGUCAAAUUUGAUUUGUCUAUAAUUUGAUUUUAAAGUUUAUGAAAAACACUUUUGUUAAAGAGGAAAAUUUUAAACAGAUUUUAUAUUCUAAGACAAAAAGUUGAAACCGAUUUUUAUGAAAAUUUAGAUGUUUUAAAACGGUAAAAUGAUAGAUAUAACAAUAUAAUUAAUAAUUUCGAAAACCCUUAUAGCUCUUUUAGAACUGUGUGAUCUUUUUUUUUGCGGGCCGAACCAGGCUAAGUUUAAAUAAUAAUAAAUUUUAUAAGUUUUGGGUCGGGCUGCAGCGCGCUAGCCCAAUUGACACCCACAACAUAUAAAGAUACUAUGUUUUUCAUAUAUUGUUUUGUUGAGAACUUUUCCUCCGUACUAGAGAUGGAAAUGUUCUUAGUACAUGGUUUUGACUUAGAGCAUCCACAGCGUUAAAAGACUAUAUUGAGUUCUUUAAAAUUGAAAAGUAAAACAAACAUGUGGAGGGAAAGUUUCUUUAAGAACAAGAAGAGUACGGUCGCAGAGAAACUUCUCUGAUUUUCUUUCUUACUUUACCUAUUUGUUUAAAUUUUUUAAUCUCUUGAAACUGAUUGAGAUACUAGCACUGUGGAUGCCUUUAGAACACCUCUAAUGGUGAGUAUUAGAAUAGGUUAUAAGCAUUUAAGAAAAAAAAAACAAAAUAAAGAAAUUAGAAGAGAAAAGACCAAAAAUUCUUAUUUCAGAAUUUUUUAAAAAUUCUUAAUAUCUUUAAGAGACACAUGUUAUCAUGUGAUAGGAAAUUAAUGUUUUGUUUGGUUUAGAAAAAAAGAACAUGAAUGAAUAAUUAUAAUAGUAAUAUUUUGUUGUUUUUAGAAACAUGUAUGGUUUCUAUCCGUUGGAGUUGCUCUUAGAAUGCUAAUACUUGCAGGGUUUCUAUAAAAAAAAAUAUUGUAGCUAUUUAGUUUUUUUUAUACACGUUGAAACAUUGUCUAAAGGACAACUUUUUUUUUAAGAGUUAUUCUUGGGUUCACUCCCUAGGGUGAACCUAAAGGUUCACCAACCAAUAGAAAAUUAUCAUUUUAGAUCUACUAUCUUUUAAUUAAGGAAACCAAAUAACUUGGCAAAUUAUAUUAUUUUUUCAAAAUAAAAUUUAAAAAUAAAUAAAAAUAAUAUAUAAAAAAACAAAUUCAAAAAAAAAAAUGUUGUCAACAAAACACUAAACCCUAAACUCUAAUACUAAACCCUAAACUCAAAUCCUAAACCCUAAACCCUUGGGUAAACCCUAAAUCCUUGGGUAAACUUUAAACCCUUGGAAAAACACUAAACAUAUUGUCAACAAAACACUAAACCCUAAACUCUAAUCCCAAACCCUAAACCCUUAGGAAAACCUUAAACUCUUGAGUAAACCCUAAACCCUUAAGUAAACCCUAAACCCUUGGAAAAACACUAAACAUUUGGAUAAAUUCUAAAAUAUAAAUCUUAAACACUAAACUCUAAAUCUUAAAAACAAAUACUUUUUUAAAAUAAUAUUUUUUUAGAACUAUUGUUAUUUUUAUUUAUUUAAUCUUUUAUUUUUUAUUUUAAAAGCAUAAUAUAAUUUGGCAAGUUAUUUUGUUUCCUUAAUUAAAAUAUACUAGAUCUAAAAUGACAAUUUUCUAUUGGUUGGUGAACCCAAAGGUUCACCCUAGGGGGUGAACCCAAGAAUAAGUUUUUUUUUAAAUACCAAACCGGUUAGUAAUUAAGAACUUUUGUGAUGUUUCUCUUUUCUAAAUUAUUAGUUUUCAUUUAUUUUUAUCAAAAACUCUUUUUCACUUCCACGUCGAGGUGCUCUUAUCUAGACUGAGACAAGCUGAACAACUUCUCAUGGCGAAUCCUAUUUACAUUUCCGUGGGGCGAAACUGUUGGGUUUUCCUUAGGGGUGGGCAAAAAACCCAAACCGAAUCGAACCAAACCAACCCAACCGAAGUUAAACCGAACCAAACCAAACUAUGCUCUUUAUGUAAUCCAAUUGGUUUAUGUUUUACUCAACCCGAACGGUUUGGUUUGGUUUGAUUUUUAACCGAACCAAACCGAUAAUCCAAUAUAUAUAGUAAAAAUAUAUAUGAUAUAUAUAUGUAUUAACAUAUUGCAAAUUUUAGUUAAAGUUUCGUUUUUCAUUUUUUCAUAACUUCUAUAUCUUUAAAAAAAAAAAAAUAUGAUUCAAAUAAUACUAUUAUAUAUAAAAUCAUGUAGCAUAAGUUUUUAUAUUCUCACUCUAUCAUUUAUGAGUUGAUUAUUUUUUAAUAAAAGUAUGAAACUGAUGCCUUCAUAUUUUAUAAUCAACCCGAACUACACCGAACCAAACUAGACCAUAAUAAUGUAAACUGAACUAAAUCUAAACCAAACCGAACUGAACCGAACCGAAUUAAACCCAAACCGAACCCAAACCAAAGCUACUUUGGUUUUAAUUGGUUUGAAUUUUAUAAAACCCAAAUUACCCAAACCAAACCGAACCCAAACCGAACCCGAAACUAAACCGAAAUGCCCACCCCUAGUUUUCCGUCCUCCAUUAACCAAAUCCAACUAAUAAGUGGAUAAGGAUGAUGAAUAAAAUCUAAUAAAGAUUAGAGAGUGUUUAUAGAAUUAGCUUGUUACCUUCACUAGUAUAAGUAAGAUGUUUUAUUUCUUUUCUUUUUUUCUGAAACACAAAUAAGAUGUUUUAAUAGCAUUUGUAUUUUGUAAUCUAUCCAAGAACAAACACUAAGAAAGCAAAUCUAAGCGAGAAACAUUUUUUUGAGAGUGAUCACAAAAAGAGUUUUUUUUUACUAAAUUCUCUUUCCUAAGAGCACUCGCAAUGAGAAUCCUUAAAGAGAAGUCAUUAAGAAAAAAAUAAUUAAAUAAUCAGUAGACUCCACCAAAAGCUAAGGAUUUAAUCCUUAAAAUCCUUAAAUAAAAACUAUUUCUUAGUGAAUUUUUGCACUAUUUACGGGUCCCCAUGACAUGUGGUGACUCACGAUUGGUUGAUAUUAUUAUUUUUUUAAUCUAAAAAGAAAAGAAAAAAUAAUACUUAAAAAUCAAAAUACACUUUUUCUAAGUACUCUCUUUGGAUAACACCAUUGCGGAUGCUCUAAAUAGAAACGUCUUUCUAUAAUUUGAAGUUGUCUCCUCCCAUAUCAAACUUGUGAAAGACAUUCGGCUAGCUUUCCCAACAGAAACCUCUUCACCACCUUUCCCUAGCUAAAUGGAGUAUCCUGAUCCAUCGAGUUUUGGCUCACAUGGUAUGAUUGAUUAGAUGAUAUUGUCGAGGUCUAGGGACCAGGUUUUAACAGAAGUCGGUCAUGUUUUCUUAUUCGUAUGACUAGAAAAUCAAAUCACUGUUCAUUAGACCUUCAUGUUGUAUAACAUCUGCAAAAUAAAUCUUUUUAAUGACUAGGAAGUUUUGAACACGAAAACACGCAGAAUAAUUCUUUUUACAGCGCAGAUCUCUCCCAACAAAAAUAACUAUAUAAAUUCUAGUUGACAACAAAAAUCGUGUGCAAAUUUAAUAUGCAUGCAUACUCAGUUUUAUUAUUUCAGGUGUUUGAUUUCAAACAUCGAUCUGAUAAUGGGAUUUGGAUGUAACCAAAAGGAACAAAAGGCAAACUUAAAUCCGUACCAGAUCAUCAUAGAGCAUCCAUGCAUCUUCCCAUUUACUAUACUUACUAGGUGUUUUACCCGCGAUGCGGGCUUAAACAUUUUCAUAAAUUUUUGAAAAGUUAUUUGUAUACUAUUCUAGUUAUAUUGUGUUUUCCAAAAAAAAUUCUUGCGAUCAAUUUAGUAUCAUCUAUGUAUUGUCUACUCUCGAAUAUAUAAAUAUAUAUAUUUCUGAACAAUUAAAUAUUAAAAUAUUUUAGUGGUAUAAUUUAAACUUGGGUCUCUAGUCAAAAAACAAAACUUGUUUCCAAUUUAUGUAAAGAAUAUUAUUUUUUUGAAUGAGCAAAGAUUUAAGGAUGGUUAUUUUUUUAAGAACAUUAACUUGUUAUUUCUGAACAAUUAAAUCUUAAAAUAUUUUAGUGUUAUAAUUUAAACUUGGGUCUCUAGUCAAAAAAACAAAACUUGUUUCCAAUUUAUGUAAAGAAUAUUUUUUUUUUUUGUGAAUGAGCAAAUAUUUAAGGAUGGCUAUUAGCAAAUAAAUGUUUGAGAACUUUAAUUUUUUUUUUUGAGAUUCUACUGCUAUAGUAGUUUAAGGGUUUUUGAAAUAUUACUAAUUAAUUGUUAUUGAUUCGAAGAUUUUCAAAUUUCAUCAAAAUUCUUUAUUUAUUUAUGACAAUAGUUUUUCAUUCUAUUUUAACAAAAUUUAACUUUAUUAAAAUAUAAUUUCCCUUUUUUAUUCAUAAGAUACAACUUUAAAAAUAUUUUGACAAUUAAAAUAAUGGAUGUAAGAUUUAAAAUCCGCUAUGUAAUUUGUAUUUGAAUAUCACAACAACAAUUUACAUAGCGGUAGAGUUUAGGUCUUUCUAGCUUUAAGUUUUAAGAUUAUUUUUUAGUGUUUAGGGUUGGUAGAGUUUUAGCGUUAGAUGAGAUUUAUGGUUAGGUUUAUGUAGGGUUUUAGGAUUAGGUUUAGGCAGGGUUUAGGGUUAGCAGGGUUUAGGGUUAGGUACGGUUUUUAGGGUUAGGCAGGGUUUAGGGUUAGGAAGGGUUUAGGGUUAGGUAGGAUUUAGGGUUAAAAAGGGUUUAGGGUAGGUAGAGUUUAGGGUUAGUAGGGUUUUGGGUUAGGUAGGGUUUAGGGUUAGGUAGGGUUUAGGGUUAGGUAGGGUUUAGGGUUGGUACGGUUUAGGGUUAGGUAGGAUUUAGGGUUCGGUAGGGUUUAGGGUUAGGUAGGUUUUAGGGUUAAAAAAGGUUUAGGGUAGGUAGGGUUAGUAGGGUUUUGGGUUAGGUAGGGUUUAGGGUUAGGUAGGGUUUAGGGUUGGUAGGGUUUAGGGUUAGGUAGGGUUUAGGGUUCGGUUGGGUUUAGGGUUAGGUAGGUUUUAGGGUUACGUAGGGUUUAGGGUAAGGUAGGGUUUAGAAUUGGGUAGGGUUUAGGGUUAGUAGGGUUUAGGGUUAGGUAGGGUUUAGGGUUAGAAAGGGUCUAGGGUUAGAAUGGUUUUAGGGUUAGGUAGGGUUUAGGUUAGGUAGGGUUUAGGGUUAGUAGGGUUUAGGGUUAUGUAGGGUUAGGGUUAGGUAGGGUUUAGAAUUAGGUAGGGUUUAGGGUUAGCAUGGUUUAGGGUUAGAAGGGUUUAGGGUUAGUAGGGUUUAGGGUAUGUAGGAUUUAGUGCUAGAAAGGGUUUAGGGUUAGGUAGGGUUUAAGGUUAGAAGGGGUUUAGGAUUAGGUAGGGUAGAGGGUUAGAAAGGGUUUAGGGUAGGUAGGGUUUACGGUUAGGUAGGGUUUCGAAUUAGGUAGGAUUUAGGGUUAGGUAGGGUUUAGGGUUAGAAAGGGUUUAGGGUUAGUAGGGUUUAAGGUUAGUAGGGUUAGUAGGGUUUAAGGUUAGUAGGGUUUAGGGCUAGAAAGGUUUUAGGUUAGGUAGGGUUAGUAGGGUUUAGAGUUAUGUAGGGUUAGGGUUAGGUAGGGUUUAGGGUUAGUAGGGUUUAGGGUUAGGUAGGGUUUAGGAUAGGUAGGGUUUAGGGUUAGGUAGGGUUUAGGGUUAGGUUUUAGGUAGGGUUUUAGGGUUAGGAAGGGUUUUAGGGAUAGGAAGGGUUUAGGGUUAAAUAGGGUUUAGGGUUAGGUAGGGUUUACGUUUAGGGUUAGGUUGGUUUACAAUUUGAUAGGUUUAGGGUUUAGGUAGUAUGUAGGGUUUAGGGAUUAGGGUUUGGUUUAUGUAGGGUUUAGGGUUAGAUAGGGUUAAGGUCUAGGUUUAGGUAGGAUUUAGGGUCAUGUAGGAUUUAGGGUUUAGGUAGUAGGAAAGGUUAGCGUUUGGUUUAGGUUGGGUUUAAGGUUUGGUUUAGAAUAAUGCUUAGGAUUAUAGGGUUUAGGGUUUGUUUGUUUUUUUGUUUAUGCAUUUAGUGCUGAGUUUUUCGGAUAAAAUUUUAUAUUAAUAUUAUUGAUUCAUAAUUUUUCUUAAAAUAUUAAAAUUAUUAAAGUGAUUUUUAAUGUUUUUAAAACAAAAUAUGUAUUUUUUUAUUAAGUUUUUUGUGACAAUAAGUUGAAUAUAUUUUAGACCACAAAUCAUAAAUAUUCUCAGUCUUAUACAAUUUGUUCUUUAAGUUAUUGUUACUUUUAUUUCCUUUUAUACAUUUCUCUUAAUAUUUAUGUAUGCAUGCAUAAUAUUUCUUUAAAAGGAUUUUUCAUUAACUAAUGUAUUUAUUGUAGUUUUAAAUAUAUUAUAGUUUUCGUGCACUUGAUUAAAAUUUUUUGGCGUUGGUGGUAUUUGAAGUUGUUGAGAACUUGAAUGUAUAUUUACUUUCAUAAAGUUUUUGGUGUAUGUUUUAAAAUAAAAAAUUUUAAAGGCUUUUAAAUCAUAUGAAUAUAAUAUUCAACACACUACUGUUGACUAUUUAUAUAUUUAAAAUUCUGAAGUAGGCAAUUACAAAUUUGCUGAAUUUAUAGAUUCGUUGCUACUUUAUAAAUUGUCACACGAUGAGGUACAUAUGGUAAAGUUAAACUCAAAUCUGUGUUUUUUUUUUGUUUUAUCUACUAUGUAUUAAGAAAUAAUUAACACAUUCAAUAAUAUUAAAGAGUAAAAAGUCAUAUCAAUUGUUCAUAGUAUAAGCCUAAUGUUAAACUCAAAUCUAGCCAAAGAAAUAAAACCCAGAUACGCGUGUCGGUCUAUCAGAUAGUGACUUUCCACGUGGAUAGCUUAGGAGAGAGGCAAACAUAUUUUAUAUAUAUAUAUAUAUAUAUAUAUAUAUAGAUUCAUUACUAAAAUAGAUCUUAAGAUAACUCAAUAUUAUAUUUUUAAUUAUAUAAUUAAAAAAAUUAUUUGAUUAAUAUUUAAUUAUAUAAUUUACGUUUUUAAAGUUUUACUAAAAUACUUUUUUCAUAUAAUAAUACAAUAUAUAUAUAUAUAUAUAUAAAGGGGUUUUUGCCAAAACUAACCCACAACUUGAUUUUAAUCUCAAACCUAUACCCAAACUUGAAUCAAAUGCAAAACUAACCUAAAAGCCUAGUGAAAUUACAGCUCAACCCCUUGUGACCAAACAAAAAAACAGAAGCCAUUUUUACGAAUAUAGCCCCAGUAAAUCGUCUGAGUCGUCUGAGAUGUUGGAAGUCGUCUGGACGACUGAAGUGUAAGUCGUAUGAUACCAGUUUAUUUUAAAAAUAAUUUAUAAAUCUUGUAAAAAAAUAUUUUGAUGCGUAAAAAAUAAAAAUCAAGUAAUUAUAAACAGUUUUAACUGAUAUAAAUUAAGAUAUGAUAAAAUUGAUUUGUUUUGAAGAUAGAUGAGUGGAAGUAGUGAAUCAUGAAAUACUUUGGUUUAGGAGUUUGGCAAACAUAUGUUGUAGUAUUGUAUGUAUUGUUAGGGUUAGAUUUUGGAAAACUAAAAUAUUUUUUCAAAAAUUAGUUUUCACUUAUAUGUGUUUAUUUCUGUGUAUAGUAAACAUUUUUCAAGUUUGAUUUGGUUUUAUGAAGUGUUUAAUUAGAUAAUUAAGUUUAGGGGUUAUGUUUAGGGUGUGGACGACUUUUAUUUCAGUCGUCUGUUGAAUAAUUUACCCGGACGACGUAUAUUUCAGUCGUCGAGACGACUUACUUGUAAGUCGUCUGGAAAGUCUUCUAUUUUAGUUUCCCGCUAAAAAUAUUUAAUUUCCCGCUAAAAAUAUUAAACUCUUCUGGACGACUUACAUGUAAGUCGUCUGUUUUAAUUUCUUCACCAGACGACUGAAAUGUAAGUCGUCCAGGAAGUCGUCUGAGUCAAAAAUAUUUAAUCUAAUUGGAUUUUUUGUCUCCCUAUAUAAAGAAAAAUUUACACAUUCUCUCUCCUCCUCUCCAAUGGCUGCAACAAAAAUGUAAUGUUCAUCAUUCUAAAACUCUCCAACCUCUCUCUAAUCUCUUUGACUUGAAAACACCAAACUUUAUAUGAAUUUUUCAGUUUUGUCUCAUGUAUUUCUUAUUAAUCUAAUGGUCUUUUUCUCAUCAUAAUAAACAAGAAUGUUGGUAAGAGAUGGAAACAAACAAUAGUAACUAGUCAAAGCAUAUCAUAUUUUUUAUAAGUUUGCAUUGAAAAACUUAGUCAAAUUUAGUAAAACUAAGGGAGAGAACAUAUUUUGUAAAUAUGAGUUUUACAUAUCUUGAAGUUACUUAUCACUCUUAAAAAUACAAGUUAUUCAAAAACUAACGUAGAAGACUUAAAAACUAGUGGAGAAGACGCGGACGACUUCAAUCUAAGUUGUCUAGACGACUAAACUAUAUGUCGUCUGGUCAACGCAGAGGUUAUUUUUGCAAUUGACUUUGAAAUCUGUUAUUUUGGACGACUGAAAGUUAAGUCGUCUACUAUUGUUUGGUUAAAAAAAAAACUCCAAAAAAGCUAGACGACUUACAUUUCAGUAGUCAGAGGUUAGUUUUGCAUUUGACUGGAUUAUUUCAGAAGUUUGAAUUUUUGGACGACUUACAUUUCAGUCGUCUAGUGAAAAUUAAAAUAAUAAUAUUUUUUUAAAAGUAGACGACUUAAAGUUAAGUCGUCAUAGGUUAGUUUUGCAAUUGAAAAAAAAAUCUUCAAGAUUUAAUUAUAUACAGACGACUUAUAAUUCAGUCGUCCACGAGACGACUGAAAUGUAAGUCGUCCAGGAUUUACGAGGUUUGACCAGAAUCUCGGAAAAAAGUCCUGGACGACUUACAAUUAAGUCGUCUGGUGGACGACUGAAUUAUAAGUCGUCUGUGUAUAAUUAAAUCUUGAAGUUUUUUUUUCAAUUGCAAAACUAACCUAUGACGACUUAACUUUAAGUCGUCUACUUUUAAAAAAAUAUUAUUAUUUUAAUUUUCGCGAGACGACUGAAAUGUAAGUCGUCUGGGGAAGUCAAACUUCUGAAAUUAUCCAGUCAAAUGCAAAACUAACCUAUGACGACUGAAAUGUAAGUCGUCUAGGUUCUUUGGAAUUUUUUUUGAAACCAAACAAUAAUAGACGACUUAACUUUCAGUCGUCUCAGGUUACAGAUUUCAAAGUCAAUUGCAAAAAUAACAUCUGCGUUGACCAGACGAUUUCCAGGUAAGUCGUCUACAGCCAGACGACUGAAAGGUAAAUCGUCUACAGCCAGACGACUUCCCAAGUAAGUCGUCUGACGAACAGAUCUGGAAAAAAACUCGAUGUCAUACCUUAAAUUGGUGAGAUAAGUUCCUUAGCAUACAUAAGGCUUCUCCAAGCACACAGAGUCACAAACGAAAGUCACCCACCCAUAAUCGUUAGCUUCUAUGACUCUAUGAACCAUAAAAAUUUUAGAAUCAAAAUCUUGGGUUUUUUUUAGCUCAUUGUGGAGAGAAAGUGAGAGAUAUGUUGUGUUUAGUUCACAAGAAUGGAAAAAGAAGAAGGGUAAAUCGAUUUUGGGAGUAUUAAGAGCUUCAAAUUGGUUGUUCAUGGUGGUUGUGGUAUUCAUGACAAUGGCAAUCUUGUAAUUACUUGAAGAUGAUGAGGGUGAGAGAGUAAAAAUGUCAUUUUCAAAAAAAAAAAAAAAAAACUGAUGGCAUUUUCGUAAAUUAUAUGAACUUGUGGGGUGAAUAGGGCAAAACAAAUUUUCAAAAAAAAGGGAGGUUAGUUUUGUGUUUGACUUUAAGUUGUAGGUCAAUUUUGCAAAAAUCCCAUAUAUAAAUUAUCUUUUUUAAUUAUAAUUUUUAGAUUUUGGAUAAUUCAAUAUUCUAUUUUUAAUUAUAUAAUUAAUAUUUAGUUAUAGAAUUUAUGUUUUUAACUUUUUACUUAAGACUUUUUCAGAUAACAAUACAAUAUAUACAAAAGUUAUCUUUUUUAAAAAAAUUAUAUUUUCAGAUUUUGGAUAAUUCUUACUAUUCUUAAUAUUGAUCAAUUAUCUAAUCAAAAUCAAUUAAAAUUUUGUUCUUAUUUUUUAAUUUAUUUAUACAUUUUAUUCAUUAAGGGUUAAACGAUAUUAACCACUCUAGCUUUCAACGUGAGAACUCCAUUGCGAAAAUUUACUUCGCAAAUAAUAGUUUUAAAUUAUAUAAUUAAAAAAAUUGUUUGAUUGAUAUUUAAUUAUAUAAUUUAUGUUUUUAACGUUUUACUAAAAUAUUUUUUCAGAUAACAAUACAAUAUAUAUAUAGAAAUUAUCUUUUUAAAUUAUAUUUUUAGAUUUUGGAUAAUUCAACAUUUCUGUUUUUAAUUAUAUAAUUAAUAAUUUUAUUUAAUUAAUAUUUAGUUAUAGAAUUUAUGUUUUUAACUUUUUACUUAAAGACUUUUUCAGAUAACAAUACAAUAUAUACAUAAGUUAUCUCUUUUUAAAAUUAUAUUUUCAGAUUUUGAAUAAUUCUUACUAUUCUUCAUAAUAAUCAAUUAUCUAAUCAAAAUCAAUUAAAAUUUCGUUUUUAUUUUUUAAUUUAUUUAUACAUUUUAUUCAUUAAGGGUAUAAACGAUAUUAACCACUUUAACUUUCAACGUGAGAGCUUCAUUACAAAAAUUUACUUCGCAAAUAAUAGUAUAGAUUGCACUGAAAUCUUAGUUUCUCAUUGCUAUCUUAGAUUUUUUUGCAAAAACGACGCAUUUUAUACAAUCAAUAAUGCUAGCAAAAAUGCAAAAUUUUGGGGGCCAAAGCGGCAAAAAUAAACAGUUUUUUUUUUUUUACAAAGAAUCAAAGGAAAUAACAUACACUAGGGUGUACAUUUUAGAGUAAAUUUUAUAUACACUCCGAGCUUCUAGUGGCCUGGUAGCUUUGUCACUGGGCUGCUACAAGCUUUAGGGCACUGUUUCCCCACCAACUUCGGAGAUACGUUGGAGCACUGGAACGUUGCUGGACCGUCUUUUCCAUUAUAUGUAAUAUCAAUGUCGCCGAUCUCCACGUUCUUACACGGAAAUCCCUUGCUGCACAAUAGCUUCACUGCGUCUUUGUUCCCUGAUGAUCCUUUGAUAUUCUUGAACUUUAUGUCCACCAGCUUGAUGGAUGAUGGUUUCUACAAACAAAUAAAACAAUUGAAAAUGAUAAUCAAUGGACUAUGAUCGUUAAGAUUUUCUUGAAAAGUACUUUUCUGUACGUACAUUCUUGUUGCAUCGGUUCCAGGGGCAGUACUCUUGGUCGAUGAGGAUAGGGUUGCUAACAUUGUGGAGAAUAAUAUUCUCGAAAUGGAUACCAGAGGCGGUCGUGGAGCAAGCUGCAGAGGGCCAUGUCUUGAUUCUCACACCAUUGUCAGUAUUUCUGAGGGUGCAGUUCACGACCUUGACGCCAGUGACGUCUUCCUCGUGCCCGUAUAAUCCGAGGCUUCCAAUACUGAUUCCGUGUCCCGGACCGCAUGAAACUCUUUCGACAAGAAGGUUUUUCAUCCCGUCCCCAACAGAGAUACAGUCAUCUCCGGUUUUGAUGUUGGUGUUGAUGAUCUUGAUUCCGUCACUCCUUCCCACGUGGAUUCCAUCGGUGUUGGGACUCUCUUCAGGGGCUACGAUCCUGAUGUCUUCGAAUGUCAGGUUCUUUGCCCCGAUCACGUUAAUGUGGAAGUUCUUUGCAUCUAACGAGGUUAUGUCUCUUACCUUACCGUCAGUUAUGUAAUCAAACCGUAUGCUCUGUUCAACAAUGACAAAACAUCAACAAACUAACAAUGCUAUUUGCUAUUUAGCUGAGUUAUUAUAGAUAAAAGAUAGACAACAUACGAUAGGGAGUCUCUUGCACUGAGUUAAUGACGUCUUGUGGCAGUUAUUAGCCCUCCAUGAAGCGUUACCUUCACCGUCAAAGAUACCACCUCCGUUCAAUCUAAAGUUAGUAAUCCUGCGGAAAGCGACCCAAAAGUCCUUCCCGUUAACGUUCCCAUCAGCUCUCACAGUGCCUUGAAGAACAAAUAUUAUAGGAGCUUUGCAUGGACCCAUCAUCUCUAUUUCCCCAAGCUUGAAUUCACCUUUUGGGAUCAAAACGGUGCUCUUGUCCACGCACUGACAUGCCUCCUUGAAUAGUUUCGACAAUUCCUGCAUCCCAAAGAUCUUAAGAUUUCUUGGAGAACAAGAAAGCUGAUUGGUUAUUGGGAAGAUGAAUAAGGUAUUAGAAUCUUACGCCGGUGAUAUCAGAACCUGGACGAGCAGUGAUUCUGAAUUCUCUAGCAUUUGCUGAUAAAGCUAACAAACAAAAAACAAAGAAUGUGGCUACUCCAAAAUGUUCACCCAUUACUGAGAUUUAUUUUACUCACUAGUGAUUACAGAUUUUUUUAUGUUUUUUCUUUUUUGUAAAUCACUAGGUUUUUUUUUUAAUAUAUAAAAAUUUAGUUUUCGUAUUUAUGUUUUGUUCCUUGAUUUGUCUGCCAUUAUAUAGUCUCUGAGAGGAGAGAGUUUUUAAAGUUGGGUUUCUUAUCCACCGUUCCUUUCACCUCUUCUUACCGAUAUUCUUGGAAACUUUUUAGUCGGAGUUUGACAUAGACAAACACUAAUAAUACCAUUGCUUAAAAAUAAAGCUUAUAUUACCUUAAUGCACAUCAAUUGGAGACAAAAAAAAUUUCAAAUAUCUAUAAAUUUAAAUUCAUUUAUUAAUUCAGGAAAAUAUACAUGUAUGCCCAAAAAUAUUUCCCCAAUUCUAUCGUUCGGCAUGUUUCUCGUUUAUGCUGCAUGUUAUGCACAUGGUGCACCCAGUCUUCAUUCAGCAGGAUUCAUGUCAAUACAGUUUUAUCUUUGUAGAUAUCUAAACCUUUUAAUUAAUUGUUUUAGUUUCGUUAGUUAAAAAAAAAACAACUAAAAAAUUCUUCUUGAAUGCCAAAGACACAUAAAUUAAUAAGUUUGGGUAUGAAGGAAGUAAUGGUGAAUUUAGUUUUGGCUAGGGAAUAUGAGGAUAUGCAAGAAUAGCACUAUCUUUCUCUACCACUGUGAGAACAAACACUGGCUAUGAUGUAUGUCUUGUAGAAUUUUAUGAGAAUGCAUGGUGUGGUUUACAGUGAUCCGACUUAUAGAGGAUCGAAAUCUGAGCAAGAGUGUAACAUUUCGAGCUGUUAUAUAUGAUGUACGGAAGUGCUUAAGAAAAUUGAUUUGGCUACCUACAUCACCAAAGUGCGCUUAUCUUUUCUGGUACACAUCCGUUUAGAACUUCGGAGUUAAUCGUAUUUGAACUGGAGUAAUGGAAUGAUAAGUGACCUAUCGAGAAGUGAUUCACGAUAGCGUGCGAGUGAGGCCAAAAAACAGGAAAAUGUCAUGUGGUGAUUGCAUGGAUCAGUAAACAAUAAUUUUGAGCCUUCGGAAAAUUAACGCACCACUCGUUAAAUGGGAUAGGGCCCACGGGUCGAGUGAGCGGGUGUGAGUGACCCAUUAGCCGUGGGCGGUCGGAGCGUAACAAGUGGUGUCAGAACUGGUUAGACAUCUCGAUUCUGACCCGAGAGGCGUCUUGAGACAUGUCGUAGGACGCAACGAGGACAUUGCGUUCUUUGAGAAGGGUGAAUUGUAACAUUCCGAGUUAUGAUAUAUGGAAGAGCUUAAGAGAAUUAAUUUGGCUACAUAUGUCACCAAUGUGCGCUUAACUUUUACGACACACAUAUGUUUAGAACUCUAGAGUUAAGCGUACUUGAACUGCAGUAGUAGAAUGAUAGGUGACCUAUCGGAAAGUGAUUCAUGAUAGCGUGCGAGGGAGGCCAAAGAACGGAGAAAAUUCAUGUGGUGAUUGCAGGAUCAGUAAACAAUAAUUUCGACCUUUCAAAAAAUUAACGCACCGUUCGUCAGAUGGGAUGAGGCCCACAGGCCGAAUGAGCGGGCUUGGAUGGCCCAUUAGUUGUGGACGGUCGGAGCGUCACAAAUGAAUUACACAGAGACAAGUCGAGUUUAUGAAUAAUUUUGCACAAAUAUUUUUGAAAAAAAUAUCAUAUAAACUAUUCUGAUGUGGUUUUAUUUACAGUUUUAAUAUAUUGACGAUGCAUGAAUUGCUAUUUAGAACAUCUUUAUUCAUAGUACUAUGGAAAAAUUCUCAACAAAAUAAUACUGAAAAUAUAGUUGAUAUAUUCAUGGGGUUCCCAAAAUCUUGAGAUAUGCAUGCAAUUGCCUCAAUUAUGAGUAUCUCAUUUUUGAAAACCACACAUAUACAUGUUAAUUAGAACUGAAGUCAAGACCUUGAACCCACCUAGUCCUAUAAAUUACUUGUUUAGAUUUAGUUUUAUAUGAUCCCAAAAUGAUUUUUUCUAACUAAGCUUAUUUGGACUUUAGAUUUUUGGUCUGAAAUCCAUUUGGAUUAAGACUAGCCCGAAAAAACUAAAUCUUUAUAUGUUUUAAUUUAUAUGUGAUUAUUUAAAUCUUGUCAAAUUUGAUUUGUCUAUAAUUUGAUUUUAAAGUUUAUGAAAAACACUUCUGUUAAAGAGGAAAAUUUUAAACAGAUUUUAUAUUCUAAGACAAAAAGUUGAAACCGAUUUUUAUGAAAAUUUGGAUGUUUUAAAACGGUAAAAUGAUAGAUAUAACAAUAUAAUUAAUAAUUUCGAAAACCCUUAUAGUUCUUUUAGAACUGUGUGAUCUUUCUUUUGCGGGCCGAACCAGGCUAAGUUUAAAUAAUAAUAAAUUUUAUAAGUUUUGGGUCGGGCUGCAGCGCACUAGCCCAAUUGACACCCACAACAUAUAAAGAUACUAUGUUUUUCAUUUAUUGUUUUGUUGAGAACUUUUCCUCCGUACUAGAGAUGGAAAUGUUCUUUUUUUUUUUUGUCGGGGAUUUAUUUAGAUAUUACAAUUAUGAGAAAGAUUACAAAGACGAUUCGAUUACCGAUAAUACUACCUGCCUUAUAUGGAUCUACGCCUAACUGUCUCAUUUGAGCCGUCCUAUGAAGAUCACGCCUGACCGGAUUUACUUGCACCAUGUUGAGAAACUCUUGUAAGCCUUUCUUCCGUAAUCGCAUAAUUGUUGAAUAAAUCGUUUGCUCCGGGAAUUGAAACCUGGAUUUCCUGUGCAAUCUGCAAGAAAUUGCAUAGUCUGGGAUUUGAACCCCAGACCUGAGUGUAGAAGCCUUUAAACCAUAACCACUAGACUACGGUGCUUCCACAGAUGGAAAUGUUCUUAGUACAUGGUUUUGACUUAGAGCAUCCACAGCGUUAAAAGACUAUAUUGAGUUCUUUAAAAUUGAAAAGUAAAACAAACAUGUGGAGGGAAAGUUUCUUUAAGAACAAGAAGAGUACGGUCGCAGAGAAACUUCUCUGAUUUUCUUUCUUACUUUACCUAUUUGUUUAAAUUUCUUAAUCUCUUGAAACUGAUUGAGAUACUAGCACUGUGGAUGCCUUUAGAACACCUCUAAUGGUGAGUAUUAGAAUAGGUUAUAAGCAUUUAAGAAAAAAAAAACAAAAUAAAGAAAUUAGAAGAGAAAAGACCAAAAAUUCUUAUUUUAGAAUUUUUUAAAAAUUCUUAAUAUUUUUAAGAGACACAUGUGAUAGGAAAUUAAUGUUUUGUUUGGUUUAGAAAAAAAGAACAUGAAUGAAUAAUUAUAAUAGUAAUAUUUUGUUGUUUUUAGAAACAUGUAUGGUUUCUAUCCGUUGGAGUUGCUCUUAGAAUGCUAAUACUUGCAGGGUUUCUAUAAAAAAAAAUAUUAUAGCUAUUUAGUUUUUUUUAUACACGUUGAAACAUUGUCUAAAGGACAACUUUUUUUUAAAAUACCAAACCGGUUAGUAAUUAAGAACUUUUGUGAUGUUUCUCUUUUCUAAAUUAUUAGUUUUCAUUUAUUUUUAUCAAAAACUCUUUUUCACUUCCACGUCGAGGUGCUCUUAUCUAGACUGAGACAAGCUGAACAACUUCUCUUGGCGAAUCCUAUUUACAUUUCCGUGGGGCGAAACUGUUGGGUUUUCCUCCAUUAACCAAAUCCAACUAAUAAGUGGAUAAGGAUGAUGAAUAAAAUCUAAUAAAGAUUAGAGAGUGUUUAUAGAAUUAGCUUGUUACCUUCACUAGUAUAAGUAAGAUGUUUUAUUUCUGUUUUUUUUUCUGAAACACAAAUAAGAUGUUUUAAUAGCAUUUGUAUUUUGUAAUCUAUCCAAGAACAAACACUAAGAAAGCAAAUCUAAGCGAGAAACAUUUUUUUGAGAGUGAUCACAAAAAGAGUUUUUUUUUACUAAAUUCUCUUUUCUAAAAGCACUCGCAAUGAGAAUCUUUAAAUAGGAGUCAUUAAGAAAAAAAUAAUUAAAUAAUCAGUAGACUCUACCAAAAGUUAAGGAUUUAAUCCUUAAAAUCCUUAAAUAAAGAUUAUUUCUUAGUGAAUCUUUGCACUAUUUGCGGAUCCCCAUGACAUGUGGUGACCAACGAUUAGUUGAUAUUAUUAUUUUUUUAAAUCUAAAAAGAAAACAAAAAAUAAUACUUAAAAGAUCAAAAUACACUUUUUCUAAGUACUCUCUUUGGAUAACACCAUUGCGGGUGCUCUAAAUAGAAAUGUCUUUCUAUAAUUUGAAGUUGUCUCCUCCCAUAUCAAACUUGUGAAAGACAUUCGGCUAGCUUUCCCAACAGAAACCUCUUCACCACCUUUCCCUAGCUAAAUGGAGUAUCCUGAUCCAUCGAGUUUUGGCUCACAUGGUAUGAUUGAUUAGAUGAUAUUGUGGAGGUCUAGGGACCAGGUUUUAACAGAAGUCGGUCAUGUUUUCUUAUUCGUAUGACUAGAAAAUCAAAUCACUGUUCAUUAGACCUUCAUGUUGUAUAACAUCUGCAAAAUAAAUCUUUUUAAUGACUAGGAAGUUUUGAACACGAAAACACGCAGAAUAAUUCUUUUUACAGCACAGAUCUCUCCCAACAAAAAUAACUAUAUAAAUUCUAGUUGACAACAAAAAUCGUGUGCAAAUGUAAUAUGCAUGCAUACUCAAUUUUAUUAUUUCAGGUGUUUGAUUUCAAACAUCGAUCUGAUAAUGGGAUUUGGAUGUAACCAAAAGGAACAAAAGGCAAACUUAAAUCCGUACCAGAUCAUCAUAGAGCAUCCAUGCAUCUUCCCAUUUACUAUACUUACUAGGUGUUUUACCCGCAAUGAGGGCUUAAACAUUUUCAUAAAUUUUUGAAAAGUUCUUUGUAUACUAUUCUAGUUAUAUUGUGUUUUCCAAAAAGAAUUCUUACGAUCAAUUUAGUAUCAUCUAUGCAUUGUCUACUCUCGAAUAUAUAAAUAUAUAUAUUUCUGAAAAAUUAAAUAUUAAAAUAUUUUAGUGGUAUAAUUUAAACUUGGGUCUCUUGUCAAAAAACAAAACUUGUUUCCAAUUUAUGUAAAGAAUAUAAUUUUUUUGAAUGAGUAAAGAUUUAAGGAUGGUUAUUUUUUUAAGAACAUUAACUUGUUAUUUCUGAACAAUUAAAUAUUAAAAUAUUUUAGUGUUAUAAUUUAAACUUGGGUCUCUAGUCAAAAAACAAAACUUGUUUCCAAUUUAUGUAAAGAAUAUUUUUUUUUUUGUGAAUGAGCAAAUAUUUAAGGAUGGCUAUUAGCAAAUAAAUGUUUGAGAACUUUAAUUUUUUUUUUGAGAUUCUACUGCUAUAAUAGUUUAAGGGUUUUUGAAAUAUUACUAAUUAAUUGUUAUUGAUUCGAAGAUUUUCAAAUUUCAUCAAAAUUCUUUAUUUAUUUAUGAUAAUAGUUUUUCAUUCAAUUUUAACAAAAUUUAACUUUAUUAAAAUAUAAUUUCCCUUUUUUAUUCAUAAGAUACAACUUUAAAAAUAUUUUGACAAUUAAAAUAAUGGAUGUAAGAUUUAAAAUCCGCUAUGUAAUUUGUAUUUGAAUAUCACAACAACAAUUUACAUAGCGGUAGAGUUUAGGUCGUUUUAGCUUUAAGUUUUAAGAUUAUUUUUUAGUGUUUAGGGUUGGUAAAGUUUUAGCGUUAGAUGAGAUUUAUGGUUAGAUUUAUGUAGGGUUUUAGGAUUAGGUUUAGGCAGGGUUUAGGGUUAGCAGGGUUUAGGGUUAGGUACGGUUUUUAGGGUUAGGCAGGGUUUAGGGUUAGGAAGGGUUUAGGGUUAGAAAGGGUUUAAGGUUAGGUAGGGUUUAGGGUUAAAAAGGGUUUAGGGUAGGUAGAGUUUAAGGGUUAGUAGGGUUUUGGGUUAGGUAGGGUUUAGGGUUAGGUAGGAUUUAGGGUUGGUAGGGUUUAGGGUUACGUAGGGUUUAGGGUUCGGUAGGGUUUAGGGUUAAAAAGGGUUUAGGGUAGCUAGGGUUUAGGGUUAGGUAGGGUUUUGGGUUAGGUAGGGUUUAGGGUUAGGUAGGGUUUAGGGUUCGGUAGGGUUUAGGGUUAGGUAGGGUUUAUGGUUAGGUAGGUUUUAGGGUUACGUAGGGUUUAGGGUUAGGUAGGGUUUAGAAUUGGGUAGGGUUUAGGGUUAGUAGGGUUUAUGGUUAGUAGGGUUUAGGGUUAGAAUGGUUUUAGGGUUAGGUAGGGUUUAGGUUAGGUAGGGUUUAGGGUUAGUAGGGUUUAGGGUUAUGUAGGGUUAGGGUUAGGUAGGGUUUAGAAUUAGGUAGGGUUUAGGGUUAGCAUGGUUUAGGGUUAGAAGGGUUUAGGGUUAGUAGGGUUUAGGGUAUGUAGGAUUUAGGGCUAGAAAGGGUUUAGGGUUAGGUAGGGUUUAAGGUUAGAAGGGGUUUAGGGUUAGGUAGGGUUUAGGGUUAGAAUGGGUUUAGGGUAGGUAGGGUUUAGGGUUAGGUAGGGUUUAGGGUUAGGUAGGAUUUAGGGUUAGGUACGGUUUAGGGUUAGAAAGGGUUUAGGGUUAGUAGGGUUUAAGGUUAGUAGGGUUUAGGGCUAGAAAGGUUUUAGGUUAGGUAGGGUUAGUAGGGUUUAGAGUUAUGUAGGGUUAAGGUUAGGUAGGGUUUAGGGUUAGUAGGGUUUAGGGUUAGGUAGGAUUUAGGGUAGGUAUGGUUUAGGGUUAGGUUUUAGGUAGGGUUUUAGGGUAGGAAGGGUUUUAGGGUUAGUAGGGUUUAGGGUUAAAUAGGGUUUAGGGUUAGGUAGGGUUUACGUUUAGGGUUAGGUUGGUUUACGAUUUGAUAGGUUUAGGGUUUAGGUAGUAUGAAGGGUUUAGGGAUUAGGGUUUGGUUUAUGUAAGGUUUAGGGUUAGAUAGGAUUAAGGUCUAGGUUUAGGUAGGAUUUAGGGUCAGGUAUGAUUAGGGUUUAGGUAGUAGGAAAGGUUAGCGUUUGGUUUAGGUUGGGUUUAAGGUUUGGUUUAGAAUAAUGCUUAGGAUUAUAGGGUUUAGGGUUUGUUUGUUUUUUUGUUUAUGCAUUUAGUGCUGAGUUUUUCGGAUAAAAUUUUAUAUUAAUAUUAUUGAUUCAUAAGUUUUCUUAAAAUGUUAAAAUUUUUAAAGUGAUUUUUAAUGUUCUUAAAACAAAAUAUGUAUUUUUUUAUUAAGUUUUUUGUGACAAUAAGUUGAAUAUAUUUUAGACCACAAAUCAUAAAUAUUCUCAGUCUUAUACAAUUUGUUCUUUAAGUUAUUCCUCAGUUCUUAACCAAGAAUAAUAAAUAGUAAGAGUUUUUCUCUGACUAUGUUUCUUUAUAUAUUCUAAUAGUCGAGUGGUACGAGCAUGGACGUAAUGGCAGAAUUUGUAAAUAUUUACAAGUACAACUUUUCAUCGUAAGAAUCCCUACUGUACACGUUAAUAGAGACACAUGGUUGUGGUUUUUAUGGAAUAAUUAUGGUUAACGAGCUUAUUCAACAUGUUGUUAGUAAUCUCCUAUAUAUACUCUUCUCUUUCUCUUAAUAAACAGUCCUCCUGCUUAAAUUCUAACGAAAUAAUUUUGCGAUGGUCCCUGCGGAUGCUAACGCAAUGUGAUUUCUGCCCAGUGCUCUGAAUGUCAAAGUGAAGAAAUUCAACCAAGCGCGGGUAAACGGCGGGAGUAACUAUGACUCUCUUAAGGUAGCCAAAUGCCUCGUCAUCUAAUUAGUGACGCGCAUGAAUGGAUUAACGAGAUUCCCAUUGUCCCUGUCUACUAUCCAGCGAAACCACAGCCAAGGGAAGAAGUGGAGGCAAAGCUGAUUUGAAAACGCAUCGUUUUGGAGAGGCGACAGAAAAGGCGAUAGAGGCGAUUAGCGAUUACGAGCAAGAACGGCAUGAGUAUGGCGGAUCCGCCGGGGUUACCUCCAUCUCCGCAGAGUGGGGGUCGAUCUCGGGAGGGUACGCAAGGUUCUGACGAAGUGGCACGACUCAAUCUAACCAUUUUGGAUCCCGAUCAAAUCACUGAUUUGGAUUCACAGAGUAUUACGAUGGAUGGAGCCAAGGUUGCGUCACCAAGGAGGAUAGAUCUGGAAAGGAAGGAUAAGGGAUCGAUUCAAGACACGAUUGCUGGAGGAUCUAAAGGAUCGUGGGUUGGAGCAGUUCAAGGGCAAAAAGUUCUGAAGAAAUAUGAUGUGGAGGUAACAAUGAAGGAUGGAAUUGGUUCGGUAACGGUUCCGGAGGAGAUCACGAAGGAUGCUGCACUACUAUGGGAUGAUUUCCUUAUUGGAAAAUUCCUGGAUAACGCUCCGCACAUUGCUAAGGUUCAUGCGAUAGUCAAUAAGAUCUGGAAUCUUAAUGACAAAACCCAGAGGAUUGAUGUGUAUGAGGUUAAUGAAACAUCGAUGAAGUUCAAGAUUCCAAAUCAAGCUGAUCGGAACAGAAUACUGAGAAGAGGUAUGUGGAACCUAGCUGGGAUUCCUGUGGUUCUGACGAAAUGGUCACCGGUGACGGAGAAGGAGAAGCCUCCAGUGCAGUCGAUUCCGAUGUGGGUACAUAUUAAAAACGUUCCUCUCAACAUGAUUUCGUGGCAAGGGUUGAGUUUUGUGACGAGUCCUAUUGGCAGCCCAGUCAGACUGCACCCAGAGACAGCGCAAUGCUUGAAGCUUGAUGUAGCAAAGAUUUUUGUUAAUGUAGAUCUGACAAAAGAUCUGCCAACAAAGAUGAACUUCAACAUUGAGGGCAAGGAAGUGUUGAUAGAAUACACAUAUCCGAAGCUUCCAACGAAAUGUUCUAUCUGUGAGUCGUGGGGUCACUCAAUAAAAACCUGUAAGAAUGGUAAGACAAUUCAGAUAGAGAAGCAACAAGAUAGUUUGGAGGAAGGGGAAAUAGUGGAUAAGCAGAAGGAGAUAAUAAAUGACAUGGUGCAAGAGUCUUCUUCGGAGGAAGUUACUGGAGGGUUAGAAGGGAAUAAGGAAGUUGGUAACUCAAAGGAAGGAAGUAUAAGUAUGAUAAAGGUGGAUGAUAUGAUAGCUGAGGAAGUGGUGGAGAAAAGAAACGAGUGGUCAGAAGUUACUCCAGGAAAGGCUAGUCGCUCUCCUGGUAGAAGGGAACUGGAGUUUGGGUCGGUAACCUUACUUACCAACUCUAGAUUCUCUGUUCUGAUGCCAGUUGUUGAGCAAGAGGUUGAGGCACUUGAGCAGCAAGAUAUAGAGGUGCAAUCUGAAGAGCAGUCUGAGGAAGAUAUCUUAAAGGAAACUGAUGAAGAGAUUCCUCGUCGAAUAUUGCCUAGAGAAUCAAAACUCAAUCAUCGGUACCUCAAGGUAAAGACAAGUCAGAAAGCUAUGGAAGCAGAUCCAAGCUAUCUGAAUAAGAAGAAGCCCCGACGCCAAUAAUAUGUCUGGUUUUUACUGGAAUAUUAGAGGUUUCAAUCAAUUUUCGAAGCAUAAGGUGGUUAAGGAAUGGGUGAGGAAGUGUGGGCUUCAGUUUGGAUGUUUAAUAGAGACGAGGGUUAAGGAAAACAAAGCGAAGAAGAUAUUGGAGGAAGUGUUUCCAGGGUGGUCUUAUAUAACGAAUUAUGAUCAUCAUCGGUUAGGGAAAAUUUGGAUUACAUGGGGUCCGGGGGUGAGAAUCACUCCAUGUUUUAAGAGCACUCAGCUAGUUACAUGCUCGGUGUUACUAGAGGGAAUGGAGGAUGAGUUUUAUUGCUCUUUUGUGUAUGGAUUGAACUUGGCGGAAGAACGGAAGGAGUUAUGGAGCGAUCUUAUGGUUCAUCAAGAUUCUCCCAUUAUUAAGAAAUCUCCGUGGAUUGUUUUGGGGGAUUUCAAUGAGAUCCUAAGUGGGUUAGAGCAUUCGGUAGAGGAUUCUGGUCAUGACUCUCAGGGGAUGAGAGAGUUUCAGGACGCAGUGAAGCAUUGCUCUCUUCUAGAUAUGUCUUAUCAAGGGCCUCGCUUUACUUGGUGCAAUAAGAGGGAGAAUGGAAUUAUCUGCAAGAAGCUGGAUCGAACGCUAAUGAAUGAUGAAUGGUUGCGAAAGUUUCCUCAAUCUUAUUGUGUUUUCGAGGCGGGAAGGUGUUCUGAUCAUCAGAGAUGUAGGGUUGUUUUGAAGACUGAACUAUUGAAGCCAAAAAAGCCUUUUAAAUUUGUGAAUGCUCUUGUGGAAAUGCCGGAGUUCCUUUCUCAAGUUAAGGGGUUUUGGGAUGACACGGAGCCUUUAUUCAACUCCACCUCGGCGUUGUUCAGAUUGUCUAAGAAGUUGAAGGCUCUGAAGCCAGUCUUGAAAAGCUUAAGUAGAGAGAAGGUUGGCGAGAUAAUUAAGAAGACAAGAGAAGCGUAUAAGACUCUUUGUGAUGCUCAAUCUAAGACGUUGGCAACUCCUAAUCAGAUGAAUAUUCAUGAAGAAGCUGUGGCUUAUAGAAGAUGGGUUUUUCUGUCGGCUUUGGAGGAAAAGGUAUUAAGUCAGAGAGCUAAAGUGCACUGGUUGAAUGUGGGGGAUGGGAAUAAUAAGAGUUUUCAUAGAGCGGCCACAGUAAGGGAGAUUCGAAAUUCUAUCAGGGAGAUUAAAAGGGUGGAUGGUACAAUUGCGAAUAAUCAAGAGGAUAUUAAGCAGGAGGCAGUAAAUCAUUUCUUUACUUUCCUAAAUCAUGUUCCUGAGGAUUUUAGGGAGGUCAGAGUGGAGGAGUUAAAGGAGCUACUAAACUAUGAGUGUACUGAGGAAGAUAGAGAUAUGCUUAUGAGGAGGGUAACUGCAGAGGAAGUGAGAAAGGUUGUGUUUUCAAUGGCUGCAGACAAGUCUCCGGGUCCUGAUGGCUACACAAGCGAGUUCUUUAAAGCUUCUUGGGGUAUUACAGGAUCGGAUUUCGUGAUUGCAGUUCAAGCUUUCUUCGACACAGGAUUUUUGCCAAAGGGUAUUAACUCUACUAUAUUGGCUUUAAUUCCAAAGAAGAAUGAUGCAGUAUCUAUGAAAGACUACCGUCCUAUCUCAUGCUGUAAUGUGAUCUACAAAGUAAUCUCCAAGCUUCUAGCUAACAGGAUGAAAGGUCUGCUUCCGCUUUUCAUCUCUUUGAACCAGUCUGCGUUCGUUAAAGAUCGUUUGCUUAUGGAAAAUGUUCUCUUAGCUUCAGAAUUGGUGAAGAAUUAUCAUAAUGACUCGGUUACAGAGAGAUGUGCAAUGAAGAUUGAUGUUUCCAAAGCCUUUGACUCUGUCCAAUGGUCUUUUCUGUUGAAGGUUUUGGCUGCGUUGAACUUCCCGGAGAAAUUUAUUACUUGGAUAAAGAAAUGUAUUGAAUUAGCCUCUUUUUCAGUACAGAUAAAUGGAGAGUUAGCAGGGUAUUUUAAUAGCAAGAGAGGAUUGCGCCAAGGCUGUGCUCUAUCGCCAUAUCUCUUCAUUGUUUGUAUGCAAGUUCUCUCCAAGCUCCUUGAUAAAGCUGCAGUUGAGAAGAAGAUUGGCUAUCAUCCUUACUGCAAGGAUAUAAACCUGACGCAUAUUUGUUUUGCUGAUGAUGUCCUGGUUUUUUCAGACGGGAAGAAGACUUCUAUUGAGGGUAUCCUAGCAGUUUUUCAAGAGUUUGCAAGGGUUUCUGGUCUGAACAUUAGUUUGGAAAAAUCAACGCUAUAUUUGGCUGGAGUACAAGCAGAGGAUAGUGAAGCUAUAAUGGAGCAAUUCCCCUUUGAAUCUGGAUCUUUACCGGUGAGGUAUUUGGGGCUUCCUUUACUCACGAAAAGAAUGAAUGCUCAAGAUUAUAGCCCGCUUUUAUCGCGAAUUAGAAGCCGUAUUUCCUCCUGGACGGCUAGACAUUUAUCAUUUGCGGGUAGGCUUCAAUUGGUUGGGUCUGUUCUUUACAGUAUCACCAAUUUUUGGAUGUCCGCCUAUAGAUUACCAAGCUCCUGUAUCAAAGAAAUCAAUAGCCUCUGUUCAGCUUUUCUUUGGUCAGGACCAGCUUUGUCAACUCAUAAAGCGAAGAUUGCGUGGACGGACGUUUGUAAACCAAAGAAUGAGGGCGGUUUGGGUUUAAAGAACUUAUCUGAUGCUAAUCGAGUGGCCUGUUUGAAGCUCAUCUGGAGGAUCUUCUCAAAAAAAAACUCAUUGUGGGGUCAUUGGAUUUGGAAGUACCUUAUUAGGAAAGGGUCAUAUUGGAGUGUGAAUGAAAAAAGCUCUCUAGGCUCUUGGAUGUGGAAGAAGCUUUUGAAGCUAAGGCCUUUGGCUAGACAAUUGUCGAGAAAAGUGAUAAACAGCGGUUCAGGGACUUCUUUCUGGUUUGAUUGCUGGUCACAGGCUGGGCGACUAAUAGAGCUAACAGGGGAAAGAGGGCCUAUGGAUCUUGGCAUUCCCAUAAAUAGCUCAGUGGAGAGUGCUAUUCAGCUUUAUAGAGCUAAACGGCAUAGAGCUCCAGUUCUUCAAUUAAUUGAUCAGGAAGUUGUGAGGCUAAGGAAUAAAGGUCUUAACAACCAGGAAGAUCUCAGCCUUUGGAAGAGGGAGAAUGGGGAUUUCAAGGAGGAUUUUUCAACUGCGCAAACUUGGAAUAUCAUCAGAACUCAAGCUCCAAAGGUUUCUUGGUUCAAAGGAGUUUGGUUCUCUGGUGCAACUCCGCGGUUUUCUUUCAUGGUCUGGAUUGCUAUACAUGACAGACUGGCUACUGGAGAUCGGAUAAGUAGAUGGAAUCCUCAGGCCAUUGUCCAUUGUUGGCUAUGUCAAGGUCAGUUUGAGAAUAGAGAUCAUUUGUUCUUUGAAUGUGGCUAUUCAAAGGAGGUGUGGUGCGAACUUGUUAAGAAUCUAGCAGGAAGCAGGAGGAUAUAUGAAUGGUUAAGUGUGACCCGUGAAGUAGUGAGAGGACUUAGGGGAAGGAUGGAGACAUUUCUUUACCGCUACUGUUUUCAGCUGGCUGUCUCUGCUAUUUGGAGAGAGCGAAAUGUAAGAAGAGUGGGGGAGCACGCUCAGACGGCAGCUUGUCUCACAGCCCGUCUGGAUAGAAUGGUAAGGAAUAGAGUUACCUCGCUAAGAAUGAAGACUGGAGGGAAGUAUGAGAGAGCAAUGGAAGUUUGGUUUGGUAGAUACUAUUAGAGCAUUUAUGUAAAGUCUAAGAGUAUUUUUCUUUGCUCAUAGAGGAGGCAGUGUUUAUACUGCAACAAUGUUUUUUUUUGAUUGAAAUAAAUUUAAACUUCUUUCAAAAAAAAAAAAGUUAUUGUUACUUUUAUUUUCUUUUAUAUAUUUCUCUUAAUAUUUAUGUAUGCAUGCAUAAUAUUUUUUUUAAAGAAUUUUUCAUUAACUAAUGUAUUUAUUGUAGUUUUAAAUAUAUUAUAGUUUUCGUGCACUUGAUUAAAAUUUUUUGGCGUUGGUGGUAUUUGAAGUUGUUAAGAACUUGAAUGUAUAUAUACUUUCAUAAAGUUUUUGGUGUAUGUUUAAAAAUAAAAAAAUUUAAAGGCUUUUAAAUCAUAUGAAUAUAAUAUUCAACACACUACUAUUGACUAUUUAUAUAUUUAAAAUUUUGAAGUAGGCAAUUGCAAAUUUGAUGAACUUAUAGAUUCGUUGCGACUUUAUAAAUUGUCACACGAUGAGGUACAUAUAAUAAAGUUAAACUCAAAUCUGUGUUUUUUUUUUGUUUUAUCUACUAUGUAUUAAGAAAUAAUUAACACAUUCAAUAAUAUUAAAGAGUAAAAAGUCCUAUCAAUUGUUCAUAGUAUAAGCCUAAAGUUAAACUCAAAUCUAGCCAAAGAAAUAAAACCCAGAUACGCGUGUCGGUCUGUCAGAGAGUGACUUUCCACUUGGAUAGCUUAGGAGAGAAGCAAACAUAUUUUUUUAUAUAUAUAUAUAUAGAUUCAUUACUAAAGUAGAUCCUAAAAUAACUCAAUAUUAUAUUUUUAAUUAUAUAAUUAAAAAAAUUAUUUGAUUAAUAUUUAAUUAUAUAAUUUACGUUUUUAAAGUUUUACUAAAAUAAUUUUUUCAUAUAAUAAUACAAUAUAUAUAUAUAUAAAUUAUCUUUUUUAAUUAUAAUUUUUAGAUUUUGGAUAAUUCAAUAUUCUAUUUUCAAUUAUAUAAUUAAUAUUUAGUUAUAGAAUUUAUGUUUUUAACUUUUUACUUAAUACUUUUUCAGAUAACAAUACAAUAUAUACAAAAGUUAUCUUUUUUUUAAAAAAUUAUAUUUUCAGAUUUUGGAUAAUUCUUACUAUUCUUAAUAUUGAUCAAUUAUCUAAUCAAAAUCAAUUAAAAUUUUGUUCUUAUUUUUUAAUUUAUUUAUACAUUUUAUUCAUUAAGGGUUAAACGAUAUUAACCACUCUAGCUUUCAACGUGAGAACUCCAUUGCGAAAAUUUACUUCGCAAAUAAUAGUUUUAAAUUAUAUAAUUAAAAAAAUUGUUUGAUUGAUAUUUAAUUUUUUAUAAUUUAUAUUUUUAACGUUUUACUAAAAUACUUUUUCAGAUAACAAUACAAUAUAUAUAUAAAAAUUAUCUUUUUAAAUUACAUUUUUAGAUUUUGGAUAAUUCAACAUUUCUGUUUUUAAUUAUAUAAUUAAUAAUUUUAUUUAAUUAAUAUUUAGUUAUAGAAUUUAUGUUUUUAACUUUUUACUUAAAGACUUUUUCAGAUAAUAAUAUAAUAUAUACAUAAGUUAUCUCUUUUUUAAAUUAUAUUUUCAGAUUUUGGAUAAUUCUUACUAUUCUUCAUAAUAAUCAAUUAUCUAAUCAAAAUCAAUUAAAAUUUCGUUUUUAUUUUUUAAUUUAUUUAUACAUUUUAUUCAUUAAGGGUAUAAACGAUAUUAACCACUCUAACUUUCAACGUGAGAGUUUCAUUGCAAAAAUUUACUUCGCAAAUAGUAGUAUAGAUUGCAGUGAAAUCUUAGUUUCUCAUUGCUAUCUUAGAUUUUUUUACAAAAACGACGCAUUUUAUACAAUCAAUAAAGCUAGCAAAAAAUGCAAAAUUUUGGGGGCCAAAGCGGCAAAAAUAAACAGUUUUUUUUUACAAAGAAUCAAAGGAAAUAACAUACACUAGGGUGUACAUUUUAGAGUAUAUUUUAUAUACACUCCGAGCUUCUAGUGGCCUGGUAGCUUCGUCACUGGGCUGCUACAAGCUUUAGGGCACUGUUUCCCCACCAACUUCGGAGAUACGUUGGAGCACUGGAACGUUGCUGGACCGUCUUUUCCAUUAUAUGUAAUAUCAAUGUCGCCGAUCUCCACGUUCUUACACGGAAAUCCCUUGCUGCACAAUAGCUUCACUGCGUCUUUGUUCCCUGAUGAUCCUUUGAUAUUCUUGAACUUUAUGUCCACCAGCUUGAUGGAUGAUGGUUUCUACAAACAAAUAAAACAAUUGAAAAUGAUAAUCAAUGGACUAUGAUCGUUAAGAUUUUCUUGAAAAGUACUUUUCUGUACGUACAUUCUUGUUGCAUCGGUUCCAGGGGCAGUACUCUUGGUCGAUGAGGAUAGGGUUGCUAACAUUGUGGAGAAUAAUAUUCUCGAAAUGGAUACCAGAGGCGGUCGUGGAGCAAGCUGCAGAGGGCCAUGUCUUGAUUCUCACACCAUUGUCAGUAUUUCUGAGGGUGCAGUUCACGACCUUGACGCCAGUGACGUCUUCCUCGUGCCCGUAUAAUCCGAGGCUUCCAAUACUGAUUCCGUGUCCCGGACCGCAUGAAACUCUUUCGACAAGAAGGUUUUUCAUCCCGUCCCCAACAGAGAUACAGUCAUCUCCGGUUUUGAUGUUGGUGUUGAUGAUCUUGAUUCCGUCACUCCUUCCCACGUGGAUUCCAUCGGUGUUGGGACUCUCUUCAGGGGCUACGAUCCUGAUGUCUUCGAAUGUCAGGUUCUUUGCCCCGAUCACGUUAAUGUGGAAGUUCUUUGCAUCUAACGAGGUUAUGUCUCUUACCUUACCGUCAGUUAUGUAAUCAAACCGUAUGCUCUGUUCAACAAUGACAAAACAUCAACAAACUAACAAUGCUAUUUGCUAUUUAGCUGAGUUAUUAUAGAUAAAAGAUAGACAACAUACGAUAGGGAGUCUCUUGCACUGAGUUAAUGACGUCUUGUGGCAGUUAUUAGCCCUCCAUGAAGCGUUACCUUCACCGUCAAAGAUACCACCUCCGUUCAAUCUAAAGUUAGUAAUCCUGCGGAAAGCGACCCAAAAGUCCUUCCCGUUAACGUUCCCAUCAGCUCUCACAGUGCCUUGAAGAACAAAUAUUAUAGGAGCUUUGCAUGGACCCAUCAUCUCUAUUUCCCCAAGCUUGAAUUCACCUUUUGGGAUCAAAACGGUGCUCUUGUCCACGCACUGACAUGCCUCCUUGAAUAGUUUCGACAAUUCCUGCAUCCCAAAGAUCUUAAGAUUUCUUGGAGAACAAGAACACUAAUUGGUUAAUGGGAAGAUUAAUAAAGUAGCAGAAAAACUUACGCCGGUGAUAUCAGAACCUGGACGAGCAGUGAUUCUGAAUUCUCUAGCAUUUGCUGAUAAAGCUAACAAACAAAAAACAAAGAAUGCUGAUACUCCAAAAUGUACACCCAUUGCUGAGAUUUAUUCUAGUCACUAGUGAUUACAGAUUUUUUUAUGUUUUUUCUUUUUGUAAAUCACUAGGUUUUUUUUUUAAUAUAUAAAAAUUUAGUUUUCGUAUUUAUGUUUUGUUCCUUGAUUUGUCUGCCAUUAUAUAGUCUCUGAGAGGAGAGAGUUUUUAAAGUUGGGUUUCUUAUCCACCGUUCCUUUCACCUCUUCUUACCGAUAUUCUUGGAAACUUUUUAGUCGGAGUUUGACAUAGACAAACACUAAUAAUACCAUUGCUUAAAAAUAAAGCUUAUAUUACCUUAAUGCACAUCAAUUGGAGACAAAAAAAAUUUCAAAUAUCUAUAAAUUUAAAUUCAUUUAUUAAUUCAGGAAAAUAUACAUGUAUGCCCAAAAAUAUUUCCCCAAUUCUAUCGUUCGGCAUGUUUCUCGUUUAUGCUGCAUGUUAUGCACAUGGUGCACCCAGUCUUCAUUCAGCAGGAUUCAUGUCAAUACAGUUUUAUCUUUGUAGAUAUCUAAACCUUUUAAUUAAUUGUUUUAGUUUCGUUAGUUAAAAAAAAAAAUAACUAAAAAAUUCUUCUUGAAUGCCAAAGACACAUAAAUUAAUAAGUUUGGGUAUGAAGGAAGUAAUAGUGAAUUUAGUUUUGGCUAGGGAACAUGAGGAUAUGCAAGAAUAGCACUAUCUUUCUCUACCACUGUGAGAACAAACACUGGCUAUGAUGUAUGUCUUGUAGAAUUUUAUGAGAAUGCAUGGUGUGGUUUACAGUGAUCCGACUUAUAGAGGAUCGAAAUCUGAGCAAGAGUGUAACAUUUCGAGCUGUUAUAUAUGAUGUACGGAAGUGCUUAAGAAAAUUGAUUUGACUACCUACAUCACCAAAGUGCGCUUAUCUUUUCUGGUACACAUCCGUUUAGAACUUCGGAGUUAAUCGUAUUUGAACUGGAGUAAUGGAAUGAUAAGUGACCUAUCGAGAAGUGAUUCACGAUAGCGUGCGAGUGAGGCCAAAAAACAGGAAAAUGUCAUGUGGUGAUUGCAUGGAUCAGUAAACAAUAAUUUUGAGCCUUCGGAAAAUUAACGCACCGCUCGUUAAAUGGGAUAGGGCCCACGGGUCGAGUGAGCGGGCGUGAGUGACCCAUUAGCCGUGGGCGGUCGGAGCGUAACAAGUGGUGUCAGAACUGGUUAGACAUCUCGAUUCUGACCCGAGAGGCGUCUUGAGACAUGUCGUAGGACGCAACGAGGACGUUGCGUUCUUUGAGAAGGGUGAAUUGUAACAUUCCGAGUUAUGAUAUAUGGAAGAGCUUAAGAGAAUUAAUUUGGCUACAUAUGUCACUAAUGUGCGCUUAACUUUUAUGACACACAUAUGUUUAGAACUCUAGAGUUAAGCGUACUUGAACUGCAGUAGUAGAAUGAUAGGUGACCUAUCGGAAAGUGAUUCAUGAUAGCGUGCGAGGGAGGCCAAAGAACGGAGAAAAUUCAUGUGGUGAUUGCAGGAUCAGUAAACAAUAAUUUCGACCUUUCAAAAAAUUAACGCACCGUUCGUCAGAUGGGAUGAGGCCCACAGGCCGAAUGAGCGGGCUUGGAUGGCCCAUUAGUUGUGGAAGGUCGGAGCGUCACGAAUGAAUUACACAGAGACAAGUCGAGUUUAUGAAUAAUUUUGCACAAAUAUUUUUGAAAAAAAUAUCAUAUAAACUAUUCUGAUGUGGUUUUAUUUACAGUUUUAAUAUAUUGACGAUGCAUGAAUUGCUAUUUAGAACAUCUUUAUUCAUAGUACUAUGGAAAAAUUCUCAACAAAACAAUACUGAAAAUAUAGUUGAUAUAUUCAUGGGGUUCCCAAAAUCUUGAGAUAUGCAUGCAAUUGCCUCAAUUAUGAGUAUCUCAUUUUUGAAAACCACACAUAUACAUGUUAAUUAGAACUGAAGUCAAGACCUUGAACCCACCUAGUCCUAUAAAUUACUUGUUUAGAUUUAGUUUUAUAUGAUCCCAAAAUGAUUUUUUCUAACUAAGCUUAUUUGGACUUUAGAUUUUUGGUCUGAAAUCCAUUUGGAUUAAGACUAGCCCGAAAAAACUAAAUCUUUAUAUGUUUUAAUUUAUAUGUGAUUAUUUAAAUCUUGUCAAAUUUGAUUUGUCUAUAAUUUGAUUUUAAAGUUUAUGAAAAACACUUCUGUUAAAGAGGAAAAUUUUAAACAGAUUUUAUAUUCUAAGACAAAAAGUUGAAACCGAUUUUUAUGAAAAUUUGGAUGUUUUAAAACGGUAAAAUGAUAGAUAUAACAAUAUAAUUAAUAAUUUCGAAAACCCUUAUAGUUCUUUUAGAACUGUGUGAUCUUUCUUUUGCGGGCCGAACCAGGCUAAGUUUAAAUAAUAAUAAAUUUUAUAAGUUUUGGGUCGGGCUGCAGCGCACUAGCCCAAUUGACACCCACAACAUAUAAAGAUACUAUGUUUUUUUUAUUGUUUUGUUGAGAACUUUUCCUCCGUACUAGAGAUGGAAAUGUUCUUUUUUUUUUUUGUCGGGGAUUUAUUUAGAUAUUACAAUUAUGAGAAAGAUUACAAAGACGAUUCGAUUACCGAUAAUACUACCUGCCUUAUGAGGAUCUACGCCUAACUGUCUCAUUUGAGCCGUCCUAUGAAGAUCACGCCUGACCGGAUUUACUUGCACCAUGUUGAGAAACUCUUGUAAGCCUUUCUUCCGUAAUCGCAUAAUUGUUGAAUAAAUCGUUUGCUCCGGGAAUUGAAACCUGGAUUUCCUGUGCAAUCUGCAAGAAAUUGCAUAGUCUGGGAUUUGAACCCCAGACCUGAGUGUAGAAGCCUUUAAACCAUAACCACUAGACUACGGUGCUUCCACAGAUGGAAAUGUUCUUAGUACAUGGUUUUGACUUAGAGCAUCCACAGCGUUAAAAGACUAUAUUGAGUUCUUUAAAAUUGAAAAGUAAAACAAACAUGUGGAGGGAAAGUUUCUUUAAGAACAAGAAGAGUACGGUCGCAGAGAAACUUCUCUGAUUUUCUUUCUUACUUUACCUAUUUGUUAAAAUUUUUUAAUCUCUUGAAACUGAUUUGAGAUACUAGCACUGUGGAUGCCUUUAGAACACCUCUAAUGGUGAGUAUUAGAAUAGGUUAUAAGCAUUUAAGAAAAAAAAAACAAAAUAAAGAAAUUAGAAGAGAAAAGACCAAAAAUUCUUAUUUUAGAAUUUUUUAAAAAUUCUUAAUAUCUUUAAGAGACACAUGUUAUCAUGUGAUAGGAAAUUAAUGUUUUGUUUGGUUUAGAAAAAAAGAACAUGAAUGAAUAAUUAUAAUAGUAAUAUUUUGUUGUUUUUAGAAACAUGUAUGGUAUCUAUCCGUUGGAGUUGCUCUUAGAAUGAUAAUACUUGCAGGGUUUCUAUAAAAAAAAAUAUUAUAGCUAUUUAGUUUUUUUUAUACACGUUGAAACAUUGUCUAAAGGACAAAUUUUUUUUAAAAUACCAAACCGGUUAGUAAUUAAGAACUUUUGUGAUGUUUCUCUUUUCUAAAUUAUUAGUUUUCAUUUAUUUUUAUCAAAAACUCUUUUUCACUUCCACGUCGAGGUGCUCUUAUCUAGACUGAGACAAGCUGAACAACUUCUCUUGGCGAAUCCUAUUUACAUUUCCGUGGGGCGAAACUGUUGGGUUUUCCUCCAUUAACCAAAUCCAACUAAUAAGUGGAUAAGGAUGAUGAAUAAAAUCUAAUAAAGAUUAGAGAGUGUUUAUAGAAUUAGCUUGUUACCUUCACUAGUAUAAGUAAGAUGUUUUAUUUCUUUUUUUUUUCUGAAACACAAAUAAGAUGUUUUAAUAGCAUUUGUAUUUUGUAAUCUAUCCAAGAACAAACACUAAGAAAGCAAAUCUAAGCGAGAAACAUUUUUUUGAGAGUGAUCACAAAAAGAGUUUUUUUUUACUAAAUUCUCUUUCCUAAAAGCACUCGCAAUGAGAAUCUUUAAAGAAGAGUCGUUAAUAAAAAAAUAAUUAAAUAAUCAGUAGAGUCCACCAAAAGCUAAUGAUUUAAAAUUCUUAAAUAAAGACUAUUUUUUAGUGAUUCUUUGCACUAUUUGCGGGUCCCCAUGACAUGUGCUGACCCACGAUUGGUUGAUAUUAUUAUUUUUUUAAUCUAAAAAAAAAGAAAAAAUAAUACUUAAAAAAUCAAAAUAUACUGUUUCUAAGUACUCUCUUUGGAUAACACCAUUGCGGGUGCUCUAAAUAGAAACGUCUUUCUAUAAUUUGAAGUUGUCUCCUCCCAUAUCAAACUUGUGAAAGACAUUCGGCUAGCUUUCCCAACAGAAACCUCUUCACCACCUUUCCCUAGCUAAAUGGAGUAUCCUGAUCCAUCGAGUUUUGGCUCACAUGGUAUGAUUGAUUAGAUGAUAUUGUUGAGGUCUAGGGACCAGGUUUUAACAGAAGUCGGUCAUGUUUUCUUAUUCGUAUGACUAGAAAAUCAAAUCACUGUUCAUUAGACCUUCAUGUUGUAUAACAUCUGCAAAAUAAAUCUUUUUAAUGACUAGGAAGUUUUGAACACGAAAACACGCAGAAUAAUUCUUUUUACAGCGCAGAUCUCUCCCAAAAAAAUAACUAUAUAAAUUCUAGUUGACAACAAAAAUCUUGUGCAAAUGUAAUAUGCAUGCAUACUCAAUUUUAUUAUUUCAGGUGUUUGAUUUCAAACAUCGAUCUGAUAAUGGGAUUUGGAUGUAACCAAAAGGAACAAAAGGCAAACUUAAAUCCGUACCAGAUCAUCAUAGAGCAUCCAUGCAUCUUCCCAUUUACUAUACUUACUAGGUGUUUUACCCGCGAUGCGGGCUUAAACAUUUUCAUAAAUUUUUGAAAAGUUCUUUGUAUACUAUUCUAGUUAUAUGUGUUUUCCAAAAAGAAUUCUUGCGAUCAAUUUAGUAUCAUCUAUGCAUUGUCUACUCUCGAAUAUAUAAAUAUAUAUAUUUCUGAACAAUUAAAUAUUAAAAUAUUUUAGUGGUAUAAUUUAAACUUGGGUCUCUAGUCAAAAAACAAAACUUGUUCCAAUUUAUGUAAAGAAUAUUAUUUUUUGAAUGAGCAAAGAUUUAAGGAUAGUUAUUUUUUAAGAACAUUAACUUUUAUUUCUGAACAAUUAAAUAUUAAAAUAUUUUAGUGUUAUAAUUUAAACUUGGGUCUCUAGUCAAAAAAACAAAACUUGUUUCCAAUUUAUGUAAAGAAUAUUUUUUUUUUUUGUGAAUGAGCAAAUAUUUAAGGAUGGCUAUUAGCAAAUAAAUGUUUGAGAACUUUAAUUUUUUUUUUUUGAGAUUCUACUGCUAUAAUAGUUUAAGGGUUUUUGAAAUAUUACUAAUUAAUUGUUCUUGAUUCGAAGAUUUUCAAAUUUCAUCAAAAUUCUUUAUUUAUUUAUGAUAAUAGAUUUUCAUUCAAUUUUAACAAAAUUAACUUUAUUAAAAUAUAAUUUCCUUUUUUAUUCAUAAGAUACAACUUUAAAAAUAUUUUGACAAUUAAAAUAAUGGAUGUAAGAUUUAAAAUCCGCUAUGUAAUUUUAUUUGAAUAUCACAACAACAAUUUACAUAGCGGUAGAGUUUAGGUCUUUUAGCUUAAGUUUUAAGAUUAUUUUAGUGUUUAGGGUUGUAGAGUUUAGCGUUAGAUGAGAUUUAUGGUUAGGUUUAUGUAGGGUUUUUAGGAUUAGGUUUAGGCAGGGUUUAGGGUUAGCAGGGUUUAGGGUUAGGUACGGUUUUUAGGGUUAGGCAGGGUUUAGGGUUAGGAAAGGUUUAGGGUUAGAAAGGUUUAGGGUUAGGUAGGGUUAGGGUUAAAAAGGGUUUAGGGUAGGUAGAGUUUAGGGUUAGUAGGGUUCUGGUUAGGUAGGGCUUAGGGUUAGGUAGGGUUUAGGGUUGGUAGGGUUAGGNNNNNNNNNNNNNNNNNNNNNNNNNNNNNNNNNNNNNNNNNNNNNNNNNNNNNNNNNNNNNNNNNNNNNNNNNNNNNNNNNNNNNNNNNNNNNNNNNNNNUUACUAUUCUUCAUAAUAAUCAAUUAUCUAAUCAAAAUCAAUUAAAAUUUCGUUUUUAUUUUUUAAUUUAUUUAUACAUUUUAUUCAUUAAGGGUUAUAAACGAUAUUAACCACUCUAACUUUCAACGUGAGAGUUUCAUUGCAAAAAUUUACUUCGCAAAUAGUAGUAUAGAUUGCAGUGAAAUCUUAGUUUCUCAUUGCUAUCUUAGAUUUUUUACAAAAACGACGCAUUUUAUACAAUCAAUCAAUAAAGCUAGCAAAAAAUGCAAAAUUUGGGGGCCAAAGCGGCAAAAUAAACAGUUUUUUUUUUACAAAGAAUCAAAGGAAAUAACAUACACUAGGGUGUACAUUUAGAGUAUAUUUUAUAUAUACACUCCGAGCUUCUAGUGGCCUGGUAGCUUCGUCACUGGGCUGCUACAAGCUUUAGGGCACUGUUUCCCCACCAACUUCGGAGAUACGUUGGAGCACUGGAACGUUGCUGGACCGUCUUUUCCAUUAUAUGUAAUAUCAAUGUCGCCGAUCUCCACGUUCUUACACGGAAAUCCCUUGCACAAUAGCUUCACUGCGUCUUUGUUCCCUGAUGAUCCUUUGAUAUUCUUGAACUUUAUGUCCACCAGCUUGAUGGAUGAUGGUUUCUACAAACAAAUAAAACAAUUGAAAAUGAUAAUCAUGGACUAUGAUCGUUAAGAUUUUCUUGAAAAGUACUUUUCUGUACGUACAUUCUUGUUGCAUCGGUUCCAGGGGCAGUACUCUGGUCGAUGAGGAUAGGGUUGCUAACAUUGUGGAGAAUAAUAUUCUCGAAAUGGAUACCAGAGGCGGUCGUGGAGCAAGCUGCAGAGGGCCAUGUCUUGAUUCUCACACCAUUGUCAGUAUUUCUGAGGGUGCAGUUCACGACCUUGACGCCAGUGACGUCUUCCUCGUGCCCGUAUAAUCCGAGGCUUCCAAUACUGAUUCCGUGUCCCGGACCGCAUGAAACUCUUUCGACAAGAAGGUUUUUCAUCCCGUCCCCAACAGAGAUACAGUCAUCUCCGGUUUUGAUGUUGGUGUUGAUGAUCUUGAUUCCGUCACUCCUUCCCACGUGGAUUCCAUCGGUGUUGGGACUCUCUUCAGGGGCUACGAUCCUGAUGUCUUCGAAUGUCAGGUUCUUUGCCCCGAUCACGUUAAUGUGGAAGUUCUUUGCAUCUAACGAGGUUAUGUCUCUUACCUUACCGUCAGUUAUGUAAUCAAACCGUAUGCUCUGUUCAACAAUGACAAAAACAUCAACAAACUAACAAUGCUAUUUGCUAUUUAGCUGAGUUAUUAUAGAUAAAAGAUAGACAACAUACGAUAGGGAGUCUCUUGCACUGAGUUAAUGACGUCUUGUGGCAGUUAUUAGCCCUCCAUGAAGCGUUACCUUCACCGUCAAAGAUACCACCUCCGUUCAAUCUAAAGUUAGUAAUCCUGCGGAAAGCGACCAAAAGUCCUUCCCGUUAACGUUCCCAUCAGCUCUCACAGUGCCUUGAAGAACAAAUAUUAUAGGAGCUUUGCAUGGACCCAUCAUCUCUAUUUCCCAAGCUUGAAUUCACCUUUUGGGAUCAAAACGGUGCUCUUGUCCACGCACUGACAUGCCUCCUUGAAUAGUUUCGACAAUUCCUGCAUCCCAAAGAUCUUAAGAUUUCUUGGAGAACAAGAACACUAAUUGGUUAAUGGGAAGAUAAUAAAGUAGCAGAAAAACUUACGCCGGUGAUAUCAGAACCUGGACGAGCAGUGAUUCUGAAUUCUCUAGCAUUUGCUGAUAAAGCUAACAAACAAAAAACAAAGAAUGCUGAUACUCCAAAAUGUACACCAUUGCUGAGAUUUAUUCUAGUCACUAGUGAUUACAGAUUUUUUUGUUUUUUCUUUUGUAAAUCACUAGGUUUUUUUUUUAAUAUAUAAAAAUUUAGUUUUCGUAUUUAUGUUUUGUUCCUUGAUUUGUCUGCCAUUAUAUAGUCUCUGAGAGGAGAGAGUUUUAAAGUUGGGUUUCUUAUCCACCGUUCUUUCACCUCUUCUACCGAUAUUCUUGGAAACUUUUUAGUCGGAGUUUGACAUAGACAAACACUAAUAAUACCAUUGCUUAAAAAUAAAGCUUAUAUUACCUUAAUGCACAUCAAUUGGAGACAAAAAAAAUUUCAAAUAUCUAUAAAUUUAAAUUCAUUUAUUAAUUCAGGAAAAUAUACAUGUAUGCCCAAAAAUAUUUCCCCAAUUCUAUCGUUCGGCAUGUUUCUCGUUUAUGCUGCAUGUUAUGCACAUGGUGCACCCAGUCUUUCAUUCAGCAGGAUUCAUGUCAAUACAGUUUUAUCUUUGUAGAUAUCUAAACCUUUUAAUUAAUUGUUUUAGUUUCGUUAGUUAAAAAAAAAAAUAACUAAAAAAUUCUUCUUGAAUGCCAAAGACACAUAAAUUAAUAAGUUUGGGUAUGAAGGAAGUAAUAGUGAAUUUAGUUUUGGCUAGGGAACAUGAGGAUAUGCAAGAAUAGCACUAUCUUUCUCUACCACUGUGAGAACAAACACUGGCUAUGAUGUAUGUCUUGUAGAAUUUUAUGAGAAUGCAUGGUGUGGUUUACAGUGAUCCGACUUAUAGAGGAUCGAAAUCUGAGCAAGAGUGUAACAUUUCGAGCUGUAUAUAUGAUGUACGGAAGUGCUUAAGAAAAUUGAUUUGACUACCUACAUCACCAAAGUGCGCUUAUCUUUUCUGGUACACAUCCGUUUAGAACUUCGGAGUUAAUCGUAUUUGAACUGGAGUAAUGGAAUGAUAAUGACCUAUCGAGAAGUGAUUCACGAUAGCGUGCGAGUGAGGCCAAAAAACAGGAAAAUGUCAUGUGGUGAUUGCAUGGAUCAGUAAACAAUAAUUUUGAGCCUUCGGAAAAUUAACGCACCGCUCGUUAAAUGGGAUAGGGCCCACGGGUCGAUGAUGAGCGGGCGGUGAGUGACCCAUUAGCCGUGGGCGGUCGGAGCGUAACAAGUGGUGUCAGAACUGGUUAGACAUCUCGAUUCUGACCCGAGAGGCGUCUUGAGACAUGUCGUAGGACGCAACGAGGACGUUGCGUUCUUUGAGAAGGGUGAAUUGUAACAUUCCGAGUUAUGAUAUAUGGAAGAGCUUAAGAGAAUUAAUUUGGCUACAUAUGUCACUAAUGUGCGCUUAACUUUUAUGACACAAUAUGUUUAGAACUCUAGAGUUAAGCGUACUUGAACUGCAGUAGUAGAAUGAUAGGUGACCUAUCGGAAAGUGAUUCAUGAUAGCGUGCGAGGGAGGCCAAAGAACGGAGAAAAUUCAUGUGGUGAUUGCAGGAUCAGUAAACAAUAAUUUCGACCUUUCAAAAAAUAACGCACCGUUCGUCAGAUGGGAUGAGGCCCACAGGCCGAAUGAGCGGGCUUGGAUGGCCCAUUAGUUGUGGAAGGUCGGAGCGUCACGAAUGAAUUACACAGAGACAAGUCGAGUUUAUGAAUAAUUUUGCACAAAUAUUUUUGAAAAAAAUAUCAUAUAAACUAUUCUGAUGGGUUUUAUUUACAGUUUUAAUAUAUUGACGAUGCAUGAAUUGCUAUUUAGAACAUCUUUAUUCAUAGUACUAUGGAAAAAUUCUCACAAAACAAUACUGAAAAUAUAGUUGAUAUAUUCAUGGGGUUCCCAAAAUCUUGAGAUAUGCAUGCAAUUGCCUCAAUUAUGAGUAUCUCAUUUUUGAAAACCACACAUUACAUGUUAAUUAGACUGAAGUCAAGACCUUGAACCCACCUAGUCCUAUAAAUUACUUGUUUAGAUUUAGUUUUAUAUGAUCCCAAAAUGAUUUUUUCUAACUAAAGCUUAUUUGGACUUUAGAUUUUUGGUCUGAAAUCCAUUUGGAUUAAGACUAGCCCGAAAAACUAAAUCUUUAUAUGUUUUAAUUUAUAUGUGAUUAUUUAAAUCUUGUCAAAUUUGAUUUGUCUAUAAUUUGAUUUAAAGUUUAUGAAAAACACUUCUGUUAAAGAGGAAAAUUUUAAACAGAUUUUAUAUUCUAAGACAAAAAGUUGAAACCGAUUUUUAUGAAAAUUUGGAUGUUUUAAAACGGUAAAAUGAUAGAUAUAACAAUAUAAUUAAUAAUUUCGAAAAACCCUUAUAGUUCUUUUAGAACUGUGUGAUCUUUCUUUUGCGGGCCGAACCAGGCUAAGUUUAAAUAAUAAUAAAUUUUAUAAGUUUUGGGUCGGGCUGCAGCGCACUAGCCCAAUUGACACCCACAACAUAUAAAGAUACUAUGUUUUUCAUUUAUUGUUUUGUUGAGAACUUUUCCUCCGUACUAGAGAUGGAAAUGUUCUUUUUUUUUUGUCGGGGAUUUAUUUAGAUAUUACAAUUAUGAGAAAGAUUACAAAGACGAUUCGAUUACCGAUAAUACUACCUGCCUUAUGAGGAUCUACGCCUAACUGUCUCAUUUGAGCCGUCCUAUGAAGAUCACGCCUGACCGGAUUUACUUGCACCAUGUUAGAAACUCUUGUAAGCCUUUCUUCCGUAAUCGCAUAAUUGUUGAAUAAAUCGUUUGCUCCGGGAAUUGAAAACCUGGAUUUCCUGUGCAAUCUGCAAGAAUUGCAUAGUCUGGGAUUUGAACCCCAGACCUGAGUGUAGAAGCCUUUAAACCAUAACCACUAGACUACGGUGCUUCCACAGAUGGAAAUGUUCUUAGUACAUGUUUUGACUUAGAGCAUCCACAGCGUUAAAAGACUAUAUUGAGUUCUUUAAAAUUGAAAAGUAAAACAAACAUGUGGAGGGAAAGUUUCUUUAAGAACAAGAAGAGUACGGUCGCAGAGAAACUUCUCUGAUUUUCUUUCUUACUUUACCUAUUUGUUAAAAUUUUUAAUCUCUUGAAACUGAUUUGAGAUACUAGCACUGUGGAUGCCUUUAGAACACCUCUAAUGGUGAGUAUUAGAAUAGGUUAUAAGCAUUUAAGAAAAAAAAACAAAAUAAAGAAAUUAGAAGAGAAAAGACCAAAAUUCUUAUUUUAGAAUUUUUUAAAAAUUCUUAAUAUCUUUAAGAGACACAUGUUAUCAUGUGAUAGGAAAUUAAUGUUUUGUUUGGUUUAGAAAAAAAGAACAUGAAUGAAUAAUUAUAAUAGUAAUAUUUUGUUGUUUUUAGAAACAUGUAUGGUAUCUAUCCGUUGGAGUUGCUUUAGAAUGAUAAUACUUGCAGGGUUUCUAUAAAAAAAAAUAUUAUAGCUAUUUAGUUUUUUUUAUACACGUUGUAAACAUUGUCUAAAGGACAAAUUUUUUUUAAAAUACCAAACCGGUUAGUAAUUAAGAACUUUUGUGAUGUUUCUCUUUUCUAAAUUAUUAGUUUUCAUUUAUUUUUAUCAAAAACUCUUUUCACUUCCACGUCGAGGUGCUCUUAUCUAGACUGAGACAAGCUGAACAACUUCUCUUGGCGAAUCCUAUUUACAUUUCCGUGGGGCGAAACUGUUGGGUUUUCCUCCAUUAACCAAAUCCAACUAAUAAGUGGAUAAGGAUGAUGAAUAAAAUCUAAUAAAGAUUAGAGAGUGUUUAUAGAAUUAGCUUGUUACCUUCACUAGUAUAAGUAAGAUGUUUUAUUUCUUUUUUUUUUCUGAACACAAAUAAGAUGUUUUAAUAGCAUUUGUAUUUUGUAAUCUAUCCAAGAACAAACACUAAGAAAGCAAAUCUAAGCGAGAAACAUUUUUUUGAGAGUGAUCACAAAAAGAGUUUUUUUUACUAAAUUCUCUUUCCUAAAAGCACUCGCAAUGAGAAUCUUUAAAGAAGAGUCGUUAAUAAAAAAAAUAAUUAAAUAAUCAGUAGAGUCCACCAAAAGCUAAUGAUUUAAAAUUCUUAAAUAAAGACUAUUUUUAGUGAUUCUUUGCACUAUUUGCGGGUCCCCAUGACAUGUGCUGACCCACGAUUGGUUGAUAUUAUUAUUUUUUAAUCUAAAAAAAAAAAAAAAUAAUACUUAAAAAAUCAAAAUAUACUGUUUCUAAGUACUCUCUUUGGAUAACACCAUUGCGGGUGCUCUAAAUAGAAACGUCUUUCUAUAAUUUGAAGUUGUCUCCUCCCAUAUCAAACUUGUGAAAGACAUUCGGCUAGCUUUCCCAACAGAAACCUCUUCACCACCUUUCCCUAGCUAAAUGGAGUAUCCUGAUCCAUCGAGUUUUGGCUCACAUGGUAUGAUUGAUUAGAUGAUAUUGUGAGGUCUAGGGACCAGGUUUUAACAGAAGUCGGUCAUGUUUUCUUAUUCGUAUGACUAGAAAAUCAAAUCACUGUUCAUUAGACCUUCAUGUUGUAUAACAUCUGCAAAAUAAAUCUUUUUAAUGACUAGGAAGUUUUGAACACGAAAACACGCAGAAUAAUUCUUUUUACAGCGCAGAUCUCUCCCAACAAAAAUAACUAUAUAAAUUCUAGUUGACAACAAAAAUCUUGUGCAAAUGUAAUAUGCAUGCAUACUCAAUUUUAUUAUUUCAGGUGUUUGAUUUCAAACAUCGAUCUGAUAAUGGGAUUUGGAUGUAACCAAAAGGAACAAAAGGCAAACUUAAAUCCGUACCAGAUCAUCAUAGAGCAUCCAUGCAUCUUCCCAUUUACUAUACUUACUAGGUGUUUUACCCGCGAUGCGGGCUUAAACAUUUUCAUAAAUUUUUGAAAAGUUCUUUGUAUACUAUUCUAGUUAUAUUGUGUUUUCCAAAAAGAAUUCUUGCGAUCAAUUUAGUAUCAUCUAUGCAUUGUCUACUCUCGAAUAUAUAAAUAUAUAUAUUUCUGAACAAUUAAAUAUUAAAAUAUUUUAGUGGUAUAAUUUAAACUUGGGUCUCUAGUCAAAAAACAAAACUUGUUUCCAAUUUAUGUAAAGAAUAUUAUUUUUUUGAAUGAGCAAAGAUUUAAGGAUAGUUAUUUUUUAAGAACAUUAACUUUUUAUUUCUGAACAAUUAAAUAUUAAAAUAUUUUAGUGUUAUAAUUUAAACUUGGGUCUCUAGUCAAAAAAACAAAACUUGUUUCCAAUUUAUGUAAAGAAUAUUUUUUUUUUUUUGUGAAUGAGCAAAUAUUUAAGGAUGGCUAUUAGCAAAUAAAUGUUUGAGAACUUUAAUUUUUUUUUUUUUGAGAUUCUACUGCUAUAAUAGUUUAAGGGUUUUUGAAAUAUUACUAAUUAAUUGUUCUUGAUUCGAAGAUUUUCAAAUUUCAUCAAAAUUCUUUAUUUAUUUAUGAUAAUAGAUUUUCAUUCAAUUUUAACAAAAUUUAACUUUAUUAAAAUAUAAUUUCCCUUUUUUAUUCAUAAGAUACAACUUUAAAAAUAUUUUGACAAUUAAAAUAAUGGAUGUAAGAUUUAAAAUCCGCUAUGUAAUUUGUAUUUGAAUAUCACAACAACAAUUUACAUAGCGGUAGAGUUUAGGUCUUUUUAGCUUAAGUUUUAAGAUUAUUUUUUAGUGUUUAGGGUUGGUAGAGUUUUAGCGUUAGAUGAGAUUUAUGGUUAGGUUUAUGUAGGGUUUUAGGAUUAGGUUUAGGCAGGGUUUAGGGUUAGCAGGGUUUAUGGUUAGGUACGGUUUUUAGGGUUAGGCAGGGUUUAGGGUUAGGAAAGGUUUAGGGUUAGAAAGGGUUUAGGGUUAGGUAGGGUUUAGGGUUAAAAAGGGUUUAGGGUAGGUAGAGUUUAGGGUUAGUAGGGUUCUGGGUUAGGUAGGGCUUAGGGUUAGGUAGGGUUUAGGGUUGGUAGGGUUUAGGGUUAGGUAGGGUUUAGGGUUCGGUAGGGUUUAGGGUUAAAAAGGGUUUAGGGUAGGUAGGGUUUAGGGUUAGUAGGGUUUUGGGUUAGGUAGGGUUUUGGGUUAGGUAGGGUUUUGGGUUAGGUAGGGUUUAGGGUUCGGUAGGGUUUAGGGUUAGGUAGGGUUUAUGGUUAGGUAGGUUUUAGGGUUACGUAGGGUUUAGGGUUAGGUAGGGUUUAGAAUUGGGUAGGGUUUAGGGUUAGUAGGGUUUAGGGUUAGGUAGGGUUUAGGGCUAGAAAGGGUUUAGGGUUAGAAUGGUUUUAGGGUUAGGUAGGGUUUAGGUUAGGCAGGGUUUAGGUUAGGUAGGGUUUAGGGUUAUUAGGGUUUAGGGUUAUGUAGGAUUAGAGUUAUGUAGGGUUUAGAAUUAGGUAGGGUUUAGGGUUAGCAUGGUUUAGGGUUAGAAGAGUUUAGGGUUAGUAGGGUUUAGGGUGUGUAGGAUUUAGGCCUAGAAAGGGUUUAGGGUUAGGUAGGGUUUAAGGUUAGAAGGGGUUUAGGGUUAGGUAGGGUUUAGGGUUAGAAAGGGUUUAGGGUAGGUAGGGUUUAAGGUUAGGUAGGGUUUAGAAUUAGGUAGGAUUUAGGGUUAGGUAGGGUUUAGGGUUAGAAAGGGUUAGUAGGGUUUAGGGCUAGAAAGGUUUUAGGUUAGGUAGGGUUAGUAGGGUUUAGAGUUAUGUAGGGUUAGGGUUAAGUAGGGUUUAGGGUUAGUAGGGUUUAGGGUUAGGUAGGGUUUAGGGUAGGUAGGGUUUAGGGUUAGGUAGGGUUUAGGGUUAGGUUUUAGGUAGGGUUUUAGGGUUUGGAAGGGUUUUAGGGUUAGGAAGGGUUUAGGGUUAGUAGGGUUUAGGGUUAAAUAGGGUUUAGGGUUAGGGUUAGGUUGGUUUACGAUUUGAUAGGUUUAGGGUUUAGGUAGUAUGAAGGGUUUAGGGAUUAGGGUUUGGUUUAUAUAGGGUGUAGGGUUUGUUUGUUUUUUUGUUUAUGCAUUUAGUGAUGAGUUUUUCGGAUAAAAUUUUAUAUUAAUAUUAUUGAUUCAUAAAUUUUCUUAAAAUGUUAAAAAAUUUAAAGUGAUUUUUAAUGUUCUUAAAACCAAAUAUGUAUUUUUUAUUAAGUUUUUUGUGACAAUAAGUUGAAUAUAUUUUAGACCACAAAUCAUAAAUAUUCUCAGUCUUAUACAAUUUGUUCUUUAAGUUAUUGUUACUUUUAUUUCCUUUUAUACAUUUCUCUUAAUAUUUAUGUAUGCAUGCAUAAUAUUUUUUUAAAAGGAUUUUUCAUUAAUUAAUGUAUUUAUUGUAGUUUUAAAUAUAUUAUAGUUUUCGUGCACUUGAUUAUAAUUUUUUGGCGUUGGUGGUAUUUGAAGUUGUUAAGAACUUGAAUGUAUAUUUACUUUCAUAAAGUUUUUGGUAUAUGUUUAAAAAUAAAAAAUUUUAAAGACUUUUAAAUCAUAUGAAUAUAAUAUUCAACACACUAUUAUUGACUAUUUAUAUAUUUAAAAUUCUGAAGUAGGCAAUUGCAAAUUUGCUAAACUUAUAGAUUCGUUGCUACUUUAUAAAUUGUCACACGAUGAGGUACAUAUGGUAAAGUUAAACUCAAAUCUGUGUUUUUUUUUGUUUUACCUACUAUGUAUUAAGAAAUAAUUAACACAUUCAAUAAUAUUAAAGAGUAAAAAGUCCUAUCAAUUGUUCAUAGUAUAAGCCUAAAGUUAAACUCAAAUCUAGCCAAAGAAAUAAAACCCAGAUACGCGUGUCGGUAUGUCAGAGAGUGACUUUCCACGUGGAUAGCUUAGGAGAGAGGCAAACAUAUUUUUUUAUAUAUAUAUAUAUAGAUUCAUUACUAAAGUAGAUCCUAAAAUAACUCAAUAUUAUAUUUUUAAUUAUAUAAUUAAAAAAAUUAUUUGAUUAAUAUUUAAUUAUAUAAUUUACGUUUUUAAAGUUUUACUAAAAUAAUUUUUUCAUAUAAUAAUACAAUAUAUAUAUAUAAAUUAUCUUUUUUAAUUAUAAUUUUUAGAUUUUGGAUAAUUCAAUAUUCUAUUUUCAAUUAUAUAAUUAAUAUUUAGUUAUAGAAUUUAUGUUUUUAACUUUUUACUUAAUACUUUUUCAGAUAACAAUACAAUAUAUACAAAAGUUAUCUUUUUUUUAAAAAAUUAUAUUUUCAGAUUUUGGAUAAUUCUUACUAUUCUUAAUAUUGAUCAAUUAUCUAAUCAAAAUCAAUUAAAAUUUUGUUCUUAUUUUUUAAUUUAUUUAUACAUUUUAUUCAUUAAGGGUUAAACGAUAUUAACCACUCUAGCUUUCAACGUGAGAACUCCAUUGCGAAAAUUUACUUCGCAAAUAAUAGUUUUAAAUUAUAUAAUUAAAAAAAUUGUUUGAUUGAUAUUUAAUUUUUUAUAAUUUAUAUUUUUAACGUUUUACUAAAAUACUUUUUCAGAUAACAAUACAAUAUAUAUAUAAAAAUUAUCUUUUUAAAUUACAUUUUUAGAUUUUGGAUAAUUCAACAUUUCUGUUUUUAAUUAUAUAAUUAAUAAUUUUAUUUAAUUAAUAUUUAGUUAUAGAAUUUAUGUUUUUAACUUUUUACUUAAAGACUUUUUCAGAUAAUAAUAUAAUAUAUACAUAAGUUAUCUCUUUUUUAAAUUAUAUUUCAGAUUUUGGAUAAUUCUUACUAUUCUUCAUAAUAAUCAAUUAUCUAAUCAAAAUCAAUUAAAAUUUCGUUUUUAUUUUUUAAUUUAUUUAUACAUUUUAUUCAUUAAGGGUAUAAACGAUAUUAACCACUCUAACUUUCAACGUGAGAGUUUCAUUGCAAAAAUUUACUUCGCAAAUAGUAGUAUAGAUUGCAGUGAAAUCUUAGUUUCUCAUUGCUAUCUUAGAUUUUUUUACAAAAACGACGCAUUUUAUACAAUCAAUAAAGCUAGCAAAAAAUGCAAAAUUUUGGGGGCCAAAGCGGCAAAAAUAAACAGUUUUUUUUUACAAAGAAUCAAAGGAAAUAACAUACACUAGGGUGUACAUUUUAGAGUAUAUUUUAUAUACACUCCGAGCUUCUAGUGGCCUGG